UCAUGUUCACUGUUACCGUAAAAAAAACUUCUCUUCCUCUCCUCUCCCGAUGCUUCUCGCCUCCUCCUCCCCUCCCCCCUGCCUCCCCUUCAUCUUUCCCUCUUCCUCUCCCUCUCCCUCCCGAAGUGACGGCGCUACAGCACGCCGGCGGCCUCCUCCACCUCUGCCUCCAUCCCCCCUCUCUCUACCUCUCUCUCUCCCUACGCGGUGGCGCAGCUAGGUGGAUAGGCCGACGCGGCGCACCGGUCGGCCAGUGGCGUGGCUGGGCCGACAGCACGCGGAUCUAGGGCCUCCAUCGCUGGAUCUAUUGGUUCCUCCAUGGGCACCUCUGCCUCCAUCACCCCUCUCUCUGUCUCUCUCUCCCUAUGUGGUGGCGCAGCCAGGCGGAUAGGAUGAGGCGGCGUUGCACCGGUUGGCCAGCGCCGUGGAUGGGCCGGCGGCACGUGGAUCCAAGGCCUCCAUCGCUGGAUCUAUUGGUUCCUCCAUGGGAUCUGGCCCGAUGGCGUCCUCUCGCGGCGUCCUGCGUCGAGGGAUGCAACAUGGGUAAGUCCUGCGACACCGCAUCUCCUCGCCUUGCCACACACCACCGUGUGUCGUUGUCUCCCCUCUCCCACCUUUUCCUUCUCUCCGCGUGUGCUUGCUGCAAUGGAUACCUGUGCUUGGUGGUGCUUGGAGGUCUGCACGGCCUUUUUCUAGCACUGUGUGUCAAUGACUACAUCUCUAUGGUCAUGCGUUGCCCGCUGAUUAGUAUAGGCGUAGAGCGACAACAGCUCUGGGCUGCUGCAUCGUCGGCUGGUCUGGAGGUGUUGUUGCCCGCCGUCUACUCAAGCGUAGAGCAAUUGCAGUCAUGCCAUGCCUACACCUUGCUGCUAGAGAAAAGUAUGUGCGAUCUACCACUGCAAGAUAUCGAUGGUAGCUACAACACUGGCAGUCUACCAGUUUCUUUGCAGCAGGUCUUACUGGCUUCAAGAGCAAAGAAAAUUUUUUUGGCCGUUUGUUUAUGAUUUGUUUUAUAGAAUGCCCACAGCAGCAACACAGGUGAGAAUGCUGCGCAAUUUUUUUUCCUUGUAUCUACUCCGAUUUGCAUCUAGCAAUAUAAACAAGCUAAGAAAAAUAUAAUUAGUUUCGUCAAAGUUGUUCUUGGAAUCAUCAUCCUCCAAAUAUAUAGAAAAAAAUAUUACCCCAACUCCUUUAACUAAUCUUCAGUCUAGAGAUUUCUUAAAUGUUUGAUUGAGUGGGAAAGUAAAAUGUUCACACUCGGUUUUAGGCUAUUGAAUUAAUCAUCUUCAAUGCUGGCUUUUGUAGUUUUAUGUUUCUACAAAAUAAAUGUGCUCACAAAGCCAUGUAACAUCUGUUUAUUGCUGCUUUCAGGUUCAGUUCAUUUGUCUCCUCUUAGCUGGUUCGAUCCUUGGAUCUUUUUACUUUUUUCCUGCCGCUGAUUUUGCAUACACACUUUUAUCUCCAGAUUGAGAGUUCAUAUAGUUUUGUUUGGUGAAGGGUAUCCAUAUUUGUAGGUGAGUCAUAAUAUUUUCCUGCCUUUUCUCUCUCUUUGCUUCCAUGUAUAUUAUCUGCCAGGCCGUUUUCUGUUUACAUAUAUGUCAUUUAUUAUUAGAUUCAUGCGAUCCAGGAAACACAGUAAAGAUAUUAUCAUAGUGGUGCAGGCACAGAGGUAUCCACCAGUCUAAAACGAUAAGGAUUUAUUUAGUUGUUUAACAUAUUGUCAUAUUCAUAUAAUUUCCAACUAUUAGUAUGCAAAAGAAAUGGAAAUCCUUACUGACUUCCUUUUUCCAUGUGUAGAUUAUAAUUUAUCAGCCUAUGAUAACAAAGCAGAUGUCUGCGGUUGUUGUUGUCAGGCAGGUUGGUUCUUACGAUCCCAUGUACUCUGAAACUGUGCACAUGUAUGAAUGUUUCCUUCUCUGUUCCUUUUUGGUUCAGGUUUCUUUAUGGUUCUUCUAUUAUUGCAUUGUCACCUACCAUGCAAACUAAGUUCUGCCUGCGUGCUUGAUUAUGUAACGUAUAUGUAAUAUCUUCAAUGAUUGAUAUUUCUCCAUAAAUCUUAGUAGCGUUCUGAUGUGAUGCUCUAGAUACUCCUAUGGCUGCAAGCUACUGUACCUACUGCCUUUGUAAUGAGUGUCAGGUGCCUCUGCCUGUGAUGCUAAUUUUGUAGAUGUCAAACAUUACUGUGCUUUGAAGAUUGGCUUCUCUUUCUACAUUCCUUCACUGUUGCUCUGGUCUUCUCUAUUGCAUUCCACUGUGAUGUUAUCCUCUAUUUCUUUAGGCAUCACGCACCGCCAUCAAUUUGUUGCUUGUCGGUUGGGAAUCAAACCACAAAAGGCCUCAUACUUUUGCUUACUAUACUCAAUCUGCUUACUUAUUUUAAUUCUAAAACAAGUUGUAGUGUUGUUUACUACAUUGUACUUCUUUAGGGGCUUGGAUCAAUGGUUUGCUAUGUAAUAUAGUUAAGCUACUUCCAAACACGAUUUCUGAUACUUUUUCAGUGGGUUCUGCCAUUCUGUUUUCCUUUUAUGUUUUUAGGCAAAGCUUUUUAUUAGGAGAUGAUAGGAUUCGUAUACAUAGGUGCAUGUUCCAUUUUUAUAGCUACUCGAAAUUCAGAUUAUUAACCUCGGUAUGUAAAAACAUAUUUAUUUUUAGCUUAAAUGUUUGAUAGAAUAUAUAUGUUGUAUAUGAACAUAAAUGUAUAUGAACAUGAAACACCACUUCAAGUUUCCGUGUGCUGAUAGUCUAACAGUACAUACUUCUGAGCUGUGAUGAUUUGAUUGACCCCACCAAUUAGUGCUAAAGUUAAGUGUACUUUCCUUUUGUCAUUCAUCUUAAUGCCAGUGUACAGGUAUUUGUAUGAGCUUCUCAUGUGUUUGUAUGACCUUUGCAUAUUUUAAAUUUUGAAUAAUGUCAUCCCAGCUGCCUGAAAAUGUAGGUUACUUCUAUGCUUUUCACGUUUUCUAAACGUAGCAGCGUUGAUCCCACGGUUAAUGUGAUUAAAUCUAUUUUCUGUUUUACUGCAAUAUAUUCUUACUGUUUUACAGAUUUUUAGACUCCUAUUAUCUUUUUAGCUUCUCACUUAUUCAUAUAGUGUAGGAUUAAAUUGAUCUAACAAAUGUGGAAACAAGCGAGUGACCAUAACCCUAUAUGACACAACAGCUGUUGGUAUGUGACGAAAUGGAUUAUGAUUUGUGAAUACUAACUUCUCUUAGAUAUCAUUGCUUUCCAUUUACAUACCUGUUGGUCAUAUAUUUUUUUAAAAACCCAUCAUUACUCCUGUCCAUCACAUACCUACUGGUCAUAUAGUUUUUGUAGACUCAACAUUGAAUUGAAUUAAUCUUUCUUGUUUCCACUGGUGGGGAGGUUCAUGAUAAAUCUGAUGGCUUUUGAUUUAAUAAGUUGAUGCUCAUAGCCUGAUGGCUUUUCAUUUAUUAACCUGUUGAUAUAUUUAUAAAGUUUACUUAGGCUAUGCAUGAAACUAAGUACCCUUCCGAUGAUGAUUAAGAAGUCAGAACAACAAUUCUGGUGCUCUAAUUAGUUUUAACUAAUACUCAUUUUGUAUCUCAGAGUACAGGUCCUUUGUGCUCAUUGGACAACAAGCAUUGCAUAAUACAACAUGUUGUGAGCCUAGAAAGGUUUGAAUGUUAUCCAACAGGAUGUGUUGACGCUCAUCAUUGUGGAGUACCUACAUUAUUAUGCAUCCGCAAUUUUUUCCCCACUGCAGCCAUUUUGUUGUAGCGUGUACAUGGCUUCGCUGACUUUCUGUUCUUUGGACCUCAAUGUUUAGUGCUUUAAUUUCUGCUCCACUUUCUGUGGACUGUACUUAGACUUCAGGAAAAGGCAAUUGGUAGAGACUGCAUGUUUAUAUAUCUCUUAUUGCUUCUCUAUUUCACAUUUUAGGUUCCAUGCCUCUGGUCAGUGUAAUGCCAAAUUUAUUUUCUUUGCAAGUUCCAUGCUAUUACACAAAUUACUUCUUAAAGUCAUCUGGGGGCUUACAAUUACUCUACUCAUUGCAGUUCACUACAAUCAGUAACUUGUGGUAACAGUGACCAACCAAUGCUUUGAUUUUGUGGUGAGUAGUAUUCUGCCCAUUCUUUUGUAUAUUAGUAUCCCGGUUACUCACACUUACCCAUUGCCUUAACAAGGAUCUGUUACUUAUCAGUUGGAUUUGAUUCCUUUCAUCCUCUCGGUUCACUGCGAAUACUAAUAGCCCUUAACAAGACCUUUAACACUACAUCCAUAUUGAAAAUGAAAAUAAUAAUUGAAAGUAAUAAGCAUAUAAAAUCACCAAUGUACGUCUCUAUUGUCAUCUUCUAUAAUUUAUUGUCAUAUAUUAACUGAGAUUAGUUACCUGUUAUUCCAUUGUCAUCUUCUAUAAUUUUAUUUUCUACACAUCCACAUAUGUCUCUGUAGACCACAGGUAUUAAGAUACACAUUUUGUUGCAGGUUCCAAUUACAACUAAUCCUCUACUGGCUACCAGCGCUAACCAUAGCCAUACCACCAGACAAAACCACAAAAGGUGAUGAGGCUUCAGUUCAAGACAUGUUUGAUCCUGAAUUAACACAUAUAACACAUUCCUAUGAUGCCCUUUGCCUUUUACACUGCUACAUGUAUGUAGGUAUAAAUUUGUACAUUAUUUUAGACUGCUUUGCAGUCCAUUAUCUUACAAUCUCUACUUUCACAGUCACAAUUGUCUUGUGGCGGCGCCUUAUGUUGUCUAUGCGACUUAUAGACCUCAUAUAAAGCCAUUAAACUAAUGGAUGGUAUCUAAUAUUUGGAAUAAUAAACCUUAUAAUAUGCUAAUCUAUGGACAUCUAUGCAUCGAUUACUAAACUUAUAAAUUUUAUGGACAUCUACGCCUUAAUUACUAAACUUAUAUGUGAUUUGUAUCUUAAUAAAUUGUCUAUGAUAUGUAUUAUUAGCAUGUCAGAUUUAGCGACUGCGCGCGAGGGCGCGCGCCUUCUACUAGUUAGUAAUUAGUAACGUGCACUUCAUUUUAUUCCUGGCUGUUUCUAUUGAGUUUUGGUGCAUCCAUGCCCUGCAUUCUUAUUCAGUGAUAUGGUGAAUUUCAUGAUUUUCUGGAAACUAAUAAGAUGUGUGAGUCUUAUUUCCAGAGAAAUAUAUAUGAUCGCUCUAGAUCCACAAAACUAAUAAGAUGCGUGAGUUAGCGCUGCCAUUUCUCAUAUUUGUUAAUUUGUACUCUCUCUGUUUCAAAUUAUAAGUUAGAAAGUCAAAACAUCUUAAGUUUGACCAAAAUUUUAGAAAAAAGUUAAAAAACAUAUUACUUCAAAUAGGUAUACUAUGAAAAUAUAAUUAAUAAAGAAUCUAAUAAUAUUAGUUGAUAUCAUUAAUCUUAUUAUCUUAUCAUAUAAAUUUGAUCAAAUUUAGAACUCUUUAACUCUCCAAAAUUUUUAAAAAUAACUUAUAAUUUGAAAUGGAGUACAUGUUACAGGCUUACAACACGAUCAUAUUUAAUUUGCAUGCAUCAUGUGUGAGCCCUGUUUCCUUUCGCAAAUGUCAUUCACACUUAGAAUCUAUGUAGACGCUCAAAUCACAACUUCACAGGGCACAUCUCCUGGGCUGCUCCGCUCCCAAACUCUGUUUCUAGAUCAUCUGAAGACAGGGACGUGCCUUAUCUGAGUCCAGCAUAAACAAUUUUCAAACUGGAAAGAACAAACAGAACAUGAGGAACAAAAAAGAGCUUUUGCCAGUCAAUACCCAAAUUUCUCCCUCCCAAGAUCCAAACACAUCUCCGAACAAACAAAGACAUCUGCUCCAAGACAAAAACUUCAAUAGUCCAGCACCUCAUUGCCCCAUGGAAACAGGCUCACCGAGACAAUAAUGCCACAAAAGAUGAUAGAGAAAAACUAACUACAGAAUAACAGGUCCCACGUACCGCCAUAAACCACACCAUCUCCCACAACCAUGACAAGUAAUUCACACACACGGUCAGAAUAAUAGUAAUCUCCACCAGAUCCAUAAUAGUAGCAUAAUAAUUUAUAAUUUACAACCAAAGCAAGCGAAGAAACAGUAUCUGAUUUCCAUGAACCUCAUUACUCUUGUAGCUAUGUAAUGAGGUUCAUGGAAACCAGAUACUGUUUCUUCGCAAUAUCCCAUUCCCCAACCACCUGUAGCAUCCUUCUUUUCUACUACUGUAUAAAAUACCAUGCUUCACAAGAGUGGAUCACACCACGAGGCAAGGAGUAUAUGGAUUAAUAGAGGGAUAGCCAUCUCCUAGUGUGUGGAGAGCACACACUUCCUUGCUAUCCAUGUUAUAUGCUAUCAGCUUCCGGUUCCAGCGCUGAAAGAAGAAGACUGAAUCGCGAUCCAGAUGAAUGGCUACUGCAUAGUAGAACGAGAAAAUGGUUUCUAUGCGCAUAUCACGGCGAGAGAUGAUGAAGCCAUCAUCUGGACCAAGGAUGAAAACGGUUGAAAACAAAAUUAUAAUAUAGAAAAUGAAUGCGGUCGGUUCGGGAUAAAUUUACAUUUUAGCAAUUAAAGAGUACAAAAAAUGGUUGAAAAUAGUUGUGAAACUAACUGAAAUUGACAAAUUUUUAUGUUUGACAAAAUUCAAAAACGGUAUCGUAAUAUAGAAAAUGGUAUCAUAAUAUAGAAAAUAAAAACAGCCGGCUCGGAAUAUUUCCAUUCCGUUUUCAUUCUUGAUCUGGAUUGCUCGUUCUUCUGAACAGUUGCACGAGGCGUAUCGCAUCAUGCUGCAGAACCCAUUCGUCAGUGUCAUAGUCCUCAAGAACCCAAAUAGACAGAAGGAAUUCUUUUGUGCCAGUGUCCUUGUGCUCUGGCGCAAUGGUGUUUUUUUUUUUUGAGGAAACAGGAGGGGCAGAGGAGCCCCUACUGAAGAAUUUUAUUCAAAAAAUAGGGGAGUACAUCAAGAAUGAAGUUUAAGAAACAAAGAACGAAACAAAGAAAAUCAUAGAAAUUACACAAUUUGCUCUAGCCAUGUUUCAAUUUCCGGAAAGUAUUUCUUUUUGGCCCUCCAUAAGAGCUGACCAAAAUGGUGCUUGACGACUUCCACACAUCGAAGGCAAUCAGCUGGGAUUCCCCUAAAAAUUACAUCAUUCUUAACCUUCCAAAUGCUCCAACUCAUGAUGAUGAUUAUUUCCAUAAAGAAUCUGACAUUCAGCUGUUGUUUGAAGCUAACAAAUCUCUGAAAAGCAUCAGGAGUACUGGUCACAGUGAGCCCGAUCAAGCUCCAGUAAUUCCUAGUGAAAGCACAGUCCAAGAAUAGAUGAUCAACAAUCUCUUCAAUAUCCAGAUUACAAAGGACACAGCUAAACGAGGGAAGAUGCAUUUGCUUUCUUUUCAGAAUGUUUGGAGUACUAAGCCUAUCUUUGGUCAGGAGCCAGAAAAACACUUUGUGGUUAUGUUGACAGGAGGACUUCCAAAUCCACUUGAAAACUAGAUGAGCUUCAGAACUGCCAAUCAAAUGUUGAUAAGAUUUCUUUGAGGAGAAGGAAGCAUUAUUCCCCCAAAUGUAGGUCCAAACAUCCCUACCAUUAUUCAAGAGCUGAGCUUGCAGUAGAUCCUCAACAUGCUAAAACUGAGCAAAAGCUUCCACAGACAGAGGGAGAUUAAAGAGGUUGGAGAUAUCAUUAUUGUCCAAAGCAGUUCUGAGAGAAAUGGAUGGUUUUUUGCAAAAGAAAACAGCUCAGGGUAUUUUAGUUUUAGCGGUGGCCCAGUCCAACAAUCAUCCUAGAGCAUGCAUGAUAAGCCAUCUCCAGCAUCUACAGAAGCCAAACCUUUGUAUUUGUCCAAUAACUUCAAAAUGUUCCUCCACCAGAAGCAGUGGCGGAGGAAAGGGGGGCUGAGAGGGGCCUGGCAUCCCCCAACCUUCCCAUAACUCUCUUAAUACACCUCAUAGAUUAGAUGUUUAAUUAUCUAAUUAGCUAGUUAAUGAUAUUAUCUGUACUAAAAUUUUUAUUCUUAUUUCAUAUUAAUCUCUAAUAGUUUCUUAUAAAAAUAGAAUCUAGAUCUUUCUAAUAUUUUCUUCAUAUCUUUUAUUUUUAUUAUUGCCUAUCAAAUAUCAGUUUGUCCCCUACCACACACUCUAAUUAGCUAGUUAAUUGAAAAUCAGCGUUUUCCUUGUUUAAUCCUUCUGAAUUGAUCUCCAACAAUGGGAUCUAUAUUAUUUAGCAUUAGUCUUCCUAUUAUCUUUCUUAUCUCCUAUGCUUCUAUCAUUAUUCGUCUAAACUCUAAACGGUCAUUUAGCCCGUUGUACUCAACUUUUAAACACUAACAGUGGUAUGGUGUUUCUGUUUAACCUUCUAUUUAAAUGACCAUUUUACCUGUUUAAGUGAUCAUUUUGUCUAAAACUAAAUGAUAUGUAACUGAUUGUUUGUCAUUUGAUGUUAGGAUCUAGUAUUAAUUAAUUUUGCCCCCGUUUAACUACUUGUUUUUAUUGUGAUUCUUUUCCUAGGCAAAGAAAUAGAAUGAUCAGGUGAAGGUUAGAGGCCUGAGACUAGUUAAAUUUCUCUUUUAUUUUUUUUUAUUUUUUCUGCUUUUUUUGCAUUGCAAUGCAAACGUUUAUUUUGAUGCUAUGUACAACUUUGUCAUGUAAUAUUUUGACACACAUGAUUGUUCUUGGUUUGUACGGCCCCCCCUAUGUUCAAAUCCUGGCUCCGCCCCAAGGAUCCCUUGUUGGUAUGAUUAGGCAGCCUUCCAUUUGAGUAAUUUUUCUCCCAGAAGGCGCAGUGGUGGUUGCAGACGCACGGCGAGAUCCGGUUCCGUGAAGAAGGCUGGCGGGGAGAAGAAACAAGAAAGGGCGGUGUCUGCAUGGGAGGUGAGGGAAAUCGACAUCCAAUCGGGCUCGAAAGAAACGAACUCCACUUUCGUUUCUCUAGCUGCAGGCCCAUGGGUGUUUUAAUCACCAUGCAGCCCAGGCUCUGGAAGAGUCCAGGCAAACAAACACGAGCCAUUGCACCGCCAAGGCAUGUCUACUCUUAGAAGCACGUCUAGACAAACAAAUGUGCCCAUAGUUGUGCCUUCAGUCGAUAGCUACCACAUAUGUUCCUUCAGUCGAUAGCUACCACAUAUGUUGUAUUGUAUGAAUUCCCCUUUCCUGUGGUCAACAAAGUAGACCAAAUCCCCAUCCGAAUGAAAAGCAACCACUCCAUAGUCUUGUCUUCUGCAUUCCUUUCCUCCAGAAUAGGUCACCGCCCCAAAUGUCGUAUCUGCAUUUUUUUGCCACUCUUCAGCAUCAUAGUCCUGAAGGACAUCAAUGGACAUUAUUCUUCUGUGCCUUUGGUCUUUAUCUUGAAAUAUAAAAUUCGCACUAAUGCAAUGUAGGCGCCCUUGGGACGACUGACCAAUUAAAUCAGCUUUGGUAAACAGAUCCGAUGUAUGCUCCCUUUCCCAUCCAUAGCAACUAUGAGAACAUCCUUGUUUUUCACACGUUCGGAAUGCAGCAUGCCAUACAAAAAGGAAAGGCUCAAAGCUGUAGGUUUGAGCAUUAUCACAAUGCAAAUCUUGAAACGGAUCUUAAACUCACUUUUAGUUUUCACCAAAAUGGAGCCAAGAAUUUAUAUUAUUGCAAAGAAUGUAUACAAUACAAUCAACUACCUCCAUCUGUUACAUAGUGUCACUAUUCUUCAGAAGCAUUCAUGGAAACAUUUGCUGGAAACUAGGAAGAUUUCAACUAGGAAGAUUUCAAGGAUAAUAUGCUUCUAGAAUUUAAGCUUUAAAGUUUACUAAACAAAAGGACGUUGGCAGUUGGCAAAGUAUGGGAUAUACUUUUCGUUCCUUCUUUGGCAUAAGAACAAUUGGUUAAGUUAUUGUAAAACAACAAAAUAGAAUAAGUAGAUAAAUAUUAUAUGUUAAAAAUCAUUUCAUGCACAUGACAGAAGAAACAAAAAUCCUCAGUUCACUUACAGUUGCAAAAUAUGUUAUGAAAAACACUAGCUCAACUUAGACUAGUUGUAGUAAGGAAUAAAUGACUAUAGCUGAAUAGAAUAAUUCAUGAUCCAGCUUCAAAGCAAAUGCAAGUAAGCAGCAGCAAAAACCAAAUCACAUUUGAGCUUAAUGUGGCAGCAGUUCAAACAUUUUUGACAUGACCUCCGUGUCAUAUGCAAGAUAAAUGCAAUUUCCAGCAUAAAUAAACAUAUACAUCACCAAGGAAAACACAAAUUCAGUGAGUAAUUGCUCCCUAGUAGGGCCGAGAAAAGGGAAGCACAUAUAAAGCAAGGAGACAUGAUUCUGGAAACACAAAGAGUAGCAUUUCAAACUCACAAAGGGUAGCAUUUCAAACUCAUAACUUGAAUGUGCCGGGUAGCUCGAACUAGUUCACGACUAAAUAACUAGCAUAUGUAAUGCUAACUUGCAUGAUAUCUUGUAAACAGCUUUCUCACAGCAGUACAAAAGGGUUACAUUAAAGCACCGGCAGAAUAAAUAACUAAAUGAUAAUAGAAUUAUCCAGCUUUGCACCACCUAAUUCUAGUAGAUUUACCCACACUGCUAGCUGCCCCAUACUUGGAAAAUCAAGCUCUUGCUGAACAUUCAGAGAAGUAUCCCACAAGCAACAACCUUAGUCCUUGGUGGCAAGAACCGGUAACUCCAUGAAACAGGGAAUGUAUGGGGUAAUAUACAGAUAGUCCUCUCCUAGACUCCAGAGAGCAUGCAGUUCCUUACCAUCCAUGUAGUAUGAUACCAGUUUCUGGUUCCAGUGUUGAGCGAGGAAUAUUGAAUUGUGAUCCGGAUGAAUGGCCACAAUAUCAAAAUCAUUGAACGGGCAACUCAGUGAUCCAAAGAGCUGUGAACAACUCACAUUGUGCUUCAGAAUCCAUUCUUGUGUAUCAUAGUCCUGAAGAACCCAAACUGACAGCUCUGUGAAUUGGAACUGGAGGUCUUCAAAUUGCAGAUCCGUACUGAUGCAGUGUAGACGGCCUUGGGAUUGAUCAAUAAAAGCAGGAAUGUUAUCUCCAUGCUUAUCAUGCCAACGGAUGAUCCUACAAAUUUUCGCUUCCCCGUCCACCGCAACUAUCAGAUUCUCAUGUUUCUCAACAUGGUAGACAACAAAAUGCAACAGACCAUUGACCAAAGCCUUGCCGCACAUGAAUCCGAUUAUGAAUUCACCCCACAGUCCCCAUCCACCGCCCUCUUCACCUCGCUCCAACUUGCUUGACCUAUCACUCCAUGCCCUGGUUUGAGAUGAGUAAGAGUGCACCAUUUGUACCUCCACCUUCCCCGACGUAUUCAUCCAGAAUUGGAGCAAGUGGAAGCGUGAGGAGACAACCGGGUCAAACAUCAGAUAGGUGUGUGCAUAUCUUUCCCCAUCAUUACCAUCAUAGUUCUCUUCCAGUUGAGGUGGAAACGGACAAGAGCUGGAGCUGGCGGGCACAGUCACCAGUUCCUCAGUCGCAGGGUUGCACACGAUGUACCCAAACUUGUUAUCUUGGAUGCACCCAAAGAGCAAGAGCCCGUUGCAGGAAUCCAAGAGGGCCAUACGCUCGACCCCAGGCAGCUUUGCCGUGAGGAAGGAGAAGGAAGGGUCGACUGGAGGAGCAGAUUUUCCGCUCCCUGAUAGGCUGGUGAAGUGUCCAUAGCUGUAAGGCCCGCCAGGGCCACCGUGGAAGAAGCCUUCCAGGGUCUGGGGUAGCUUCUUGCGGUGGAGGGGGUCGGUGAUGAGGUCGCACCAGGGUUUUGACACGCACUUGGAUCGGCGGACAUCUUUGACGGGCACGCACGAGAGGAUCUCCACCAACAGGUCAUCGUAGAGGCCCGCCACCGCCGUCCCCUUUGCGUUGUCCAUGCCGCCGAGAGCGGGGAAAGGAUGCGCCACAAGCUGCGAAUUUUUCAUAGAAUCAGGUGAGGUUAGGGGAUGGAUGCGCACGAGAGAGACAAGGUCCAAGAAACGCGAUGAAUGGGGAACGUACCAGCCGCCGGAGAGUUUGUGGAGAAUCAGGUGAGAUUAGGGUUCGCGUCGAUGGCGGCGGGCUAGUCGGCGGGUGAUUUGCCCAGAUGGGGAAUUUUCUAAACCCUUGCAGCUCCGCACCUCUUGACUCUCGUGUCUCGCCUCAUAACAGGGUGAUUAUUACUUUUUUUUUACCAUAAUUACCAUGGACACCUCCUCAGAUAGCAGAUUUAGAAUUGCCACUACAUCUUCACCCACAGAAAAAGAAAACAGCUACAAAUCUACCAUAUUUACCCGCGUGGUAGGCCACGUCAGCACACCACGGUGAUGAUGAGUCAUCAUCCACAUGUGAAAAGACCAUGAUGCCCUUCUCAUCUUUUGCCUAGGCAACAUAUUAAAGGAUGGACGGCUCAGGACAACUGUUGUCUGAGAUAUGUAUAUUUGUAUUUUCAGAAUAUUUCUUUAAUUUUUCAAAGGAAAAAAGAGCAUAUACAUCAUCAUCAUCAUGACGUCAUGACUCAAGAGGCAUGUUGUGCACCUUCAUGGUUUCUGCUCCCUAGCCGCUGCCUGCUCGUACAAGUCCCGCACGGACCCAGUGCGUUAUAUGGCCAUGGUGCCGUGGGUGGGGCUGGCGGCCUCCGACCGAAAGACUCUAUCUAUGAGGAGGUACCUUUGCCAUGGACCUCGAUCCACUGUUGGACCCCUCGGCUGCCGUCUCCAUGCUCCCCUUCUACUCCUGGGUCCUCAUGCCGCAGAACGUCUGAACCUCCUCCUUGUCGCAUGCAACUACGUUCCGCUUCACCUCCACACUGUUAUUUUCUGUAAGUAUAUUAUAUUAUAUAUUCACUGUGUAGGUCUAUUUAUAUGGAGUCCAACAUAAUUAAAUUUUUUAUUUUAUAAUUUAUCUAUGAUUUACUAUAAUUUUUCAAAAAUUUAGCUGGAAUAAAAAAGACAAAAUCCAUACCACUGUAGCAAAACCAUCGUCGAAAACCGUGAGGGUUAUUUAAAUGGUUUUAGAAAGUUUAGGGGUAAAACGUCUAGUUUCAAAGUUGAGGGAAGUAGACUUUUUCCCUUCGUUAAUCGUAGUCAUUAACCAUAGCCGUUGAAUUUUAUGACCAUCUCCAUUAACAAAAAGACACCAUCUUAUAAAAUGAUUUAAGUAGCGGCGAUCGAUGAUGAGGUCGCAACAAGCCUUGGACACGCAACUGAACCGGCAGCGGGACUUGAUAGGCAGGGGCGCACGUGAGGAUCUCCUGAGGGCGUCUUCUCCUUCUCAUAAGCUGCGGUCGGUAUCGAUGGCGGCGCCGCUUGCUCCUCCGUUGCCUAUGGAUCGGAUGCUGCUGUGGAGACAAAGAACCGGUUCCUCCGCGCAUGGCCACCCAAGGCCUGGUAUAGAUGUCGCGAGAUCGCUCGAGCAUGCAUGAUUUGGCCAUUUGGGGAUAGUGGAAUUCGGAGUGACGAGCAAGUGGAAGAGCAUCUCAUCUUAAAAGGCAGGCAUUAAGCUCUCAAUAUUGAGCCUGUUCGCUCGAACUUAUCUGCCGAAUUUAUCAACUAUUCAACAAUAUUUUUUUUCUGACUUUUUAACCAUGCGAACAGUAUAUGAUGAGGUUCUGGCUACGGCUAGCAUCCGAUCGAAUUCUGAGUCAUUGGUUUUCACUUUUUAAACAGUUAGCCAAAGUCAAAAAGGUUACUGGGCGAAUCCUCAUUCCUCGGUCCUGAAAUAUAAGACUAAAAGUUGCACGUAUUUAAACAUUCAAACUUAAUUAUUUUUAUUAACAAUUAGUCUAAUAACAUGAACAGUUUAUAAGAAAAAAAUGGUUACAUUAAAUUUGUAUUUAGACAUUUUCGAAUAACCAAACUUUUGUUGCAAAAAAAAUAUUAUAUUAGAAAUUAGUAGUUGAAUUGUGACCUUAAAGACUAACGUCUAGUGAAAUGAAAUCAAGAUUACUCAUUGGAGCCAGUAGAGGCUCUAGUGAAAUCAUGCCUUUUAGUAUUUUGGAAGCGAGAGCUGCUGGAGGCAUGCAUCUGGUGGCUAAUACAAAUCCGUACUCUCAAUACUUUCAUGUGUCAUUCGGUUUUUCUUUUGUUAGUUCCUUAAUCCUGAGUCACUUGCCAGAUUGAUGCAAUAAAUAGAAAAAAAAUGAUUCUUGACAGCUCACCACUUGUAAUAUAAUACUAUCAAUAUUGUAGCACGUAGAGUACUGAUUAGAGCAAGUAUUAUAGUGGGCUGUAAGCUGGCUAAAUGCUGAGGUGGAGGAGGGAAGAGAGGAGAGAGAGAAGCAUGCUGUAACCUUACAGCCAGCUUAGGCACAGGAACCAAAAAACUCUGUGAGAGAGACAAGUGGGCCAUAUAUUAAUAGUGAAUAGCUCAUUGUUGUAUGAGUGGGCUGUAAAAAGGCUACAAGAAACCUUACAGCCAGCAAGUAGGCUGUAUUAUUAAACUUGCUCUUAGCGUCCACAAGAAAGCUCUGCUGUCUCCAAGUCCUAGGACAUGGUGCCACUUAUUCUUCAGCACCAUAAUAGUACAUAAAAAUUUUUGGCAGAGCUUUCGGUUUCAAAUUCUCAUACAAAUCGUUGCUUCCAACAUGCUUAUACAAUUUUUGUUUAUUAACAUGCGAAUGAUUGGCUAAAACUAUUGUUGUAAAUUGUCAAUGCAAGGCACUAAAAUAAACAUUUGAUGCUAAUAUGCCAUACAUUUGUUAGGAUAGAGGAAAAAACACGCCCCCAUUCCCUUACAUUUGCAUACCACAACUUCAUAACUUAUUACAAAAGAACUAGCUAGGUCAACUAUGAUAACAAUAACAAAGAUUUGACAGUAACUUAUCUUACGCAGGGCGACCAAAACAGAUGAAAACAAUCAGCAAUCUCUUAUUACCUGCUUCAGCUCAAAUUUCAGUUUACACAUUUCCAAUACACCAAGUGUUUGCAGCAUAGGGAAAAGUGAUAGAGUUAUUCCUUCAGCUUAAAAAAGCAUAUACUUAUCUCCAGUCAAGACGUUCAGACUUCAGACAUGAAAAUGAUUCAGAAAACAGACUAGCAUGUCUGAAACAUCAUACGUUUUUUUUACUAUAGGGAGUGCUAACAGAUAGAAUGAAAAAUAACACUUGGUAUUAGUAAUCACUCAUCAAUUGUAAGGUCAAGGAAAAAGACAGCAAGUAUCUAUACUCCUUAUAAUCUUAGUGACACAAAAGGUAAGCAUUCGAAAUAUAUAACUUGAAGUCUUCAGAGAAAAUCAUCAAAUGGUAGUCCGUAGUCAACAUUCAUUAAGAUAACUAGCAUAUGUAAAAAGACACCUUGCAUGCAUAUAGAACAAAGACAAAUAUAAACAUUGUGUGCCAUUUUUUUUAUGCUUCACAUGCACAGAGAAAAAAAUCCACUUUAAAUCUGCAGGCUAAACUAUUAUAAAGUACUAGCACAACUAUUGACACUGUUAUAACAACGAUUUGAAAAUAGCUCAAUAUAAUGCAUUUGUCUUAUGCAGGGCAGCUAAAAUAGACAAGCAACCAACAUGGGCACACAAGAUCUUCUAUUUCCCUCUGUCCAAACUACAGAAUCUGUUAUUAUCAGCUUCUGCUAUUGGAUAUAUGGUCUCCAAACUAGUCAAAUCAAGUAAUCAACAUCAACUAGGCAGCUUUUGAUCUUAACAUGAUACAAAAUAAAAGAUCAGCCUAAACAUUUGUAAUACACACAUUGUUUGAAACACGUGGAAGAUUUAAUCCCUCAGCUUAAAUUUGACUGAAACGAAAAUUAACAUCUAGCAAUAAAUCAUUACUUGCAUGGUCAAGCAAAAAAAAAAAAAGCCCCAAGUAUUUAUGCUGCUUAUAAUCCUAGAAACAUAAAAGGCAGCAUUUGAAAUAUGUAAUUUUAAGUCAAAAGAAAAUCAUCACAAGCUGGUCAACUGCAUUCAUUAAAUAUGACAGGCACAUGAAAAGCCACCUUACAUAAUCUCCCAAUUGCAUGUGGUAACUAGUCCAAAAGCAUGAGACUGAAAACAACCAUGCACCAAAGAAAUUCAUUGCCUGAUUCUAGUAAAUCUAAUAAAGUUGAUAGAUGCUUGAUACUUCCAAUAUCACAUAUUCUUGGUUAACAUCCUGACAAGAACCCCAUAAGCAACAUCUUCAAUGCUUGUUUGCAAGCACCGAUGACUCUGAAAAAUAUGGCACGUAUGGUGUAAGAAAGCAGUAGGCAUGCCCAAAGUUGUGGAGUGCAUGCACUUCCUUAUUACGCAUGUCAUAAGAUAGCAGUUUCCAUUGCCGGUCCCCCUUCCCGUUACGGUGCCGAAUAAAGAAAACCCGAUCACAAUCUGGAUGAAUACUGACCACAGUGAACCUGGACGGGUCACACAUUUUUCCAAGCAACUCUGAAAACCUGACACUGUGUUUUAGGACCCAAUGUCCUGCAUUAUAGUCAAGAACCCUCAUGGAUAGUCCACUUUCAGUCCUUGGGUAAGCAUUACGUCUGCUCAUGCAAUGCAAGCGCCCUUGGGACUGAGCAACAAAAAGGGUAAAAGAAAAAUCCCCAUCUGGCAAUGGGAUGAUCCUUGGUUUACCUUGCCUACCCAUGGCAGCUAUCUGACUAACACCUUUCCACAUGUCCUUGAUGAUAAAAUACAGCAUACCAUUGGCAAAGGCUAUGCGGCCUGAACUGGCUGUUGCCAUUCCAACAUUGACCAAUCCAUCACUCACGCGGUCACUCCAUCCCCUGGUCUCAGAAGAGUAGGCACGCACCUCAACUCCAACACUCGGCCAAUAUUUCUGCCAGAUACGCAACAAGUAGAAGUGCGUCGACGCGGCCGGAUCAAAAAGCAAGUAAAUUUCACCGCCAACAUGAGAGGUGACGCCGGAGCUGGGCACGGCCACCCAUUGCUCGGUGGCGGGGUUGCACACGGCGUAGGACGGUGUGCUGGCCGAACCCGAGCGGUGCUCGAAGAGGACGAGACCAUUGCAGGAACCCAAGAGCUUUAUGUUACUCAUCUCGGGCUGCUUCGUCAGGAAGGAGAAGGAAAGGUCGACGAGAGGCGCCGGUCUCCCCGGCAGGCUGAUGAAGCGCCCGUAGGAUCUGGCUCCGUCGCUGCAGAAGAAGCCUUGUAGGGUCUGGGGGAGCCGUUUCUGGUUGAGGGGAUCGGCGAUUAGAUCGCGCCAGCGCUUCGAGACGCACUUGAAUCGGUGCAUGGACCUCGCGGGCACGCGACAGAGGAUCUCCAGAAUGAGUUCGUCUGGGAGCCUGGCCGCCGCGGCACCCCUAUUGGCGUCGGGGCGAUCCUCCAUGCCGCGGACUGCGAAACGGAGGAGAUGGGAGGUGAGGGGGAUAAGAUGAGCGAGCGCACACGGCAGCGAAAUAGAUGUACAGCGACUCAGCGAGGGUAGGUGCGUGCGGGAUGCGGCGGGGAGGAGGAGCGUACCAGGGGAGCCGCCGGAGACUUUCGAGAUCGCCAAGAGCACGGCGCCGCCGGUGAGUCGGUGUAUGACGGAGACGAGGGCCGUUUUAUUUGCAGACUCGAUCAUAGAUGUGAGGCCCAGGCCCAGGCCCAGCAUAAUUCUGGAAGGCCCGAAGGUUAUUACGAGCCCAAAAGGCUGGGCCCGACCUUCACUCAGGACUCAGCCCACACGAAGAAUUUGUCCCGAGGACUUUUUGCAGGCCAGAUUUUGAAGGCAUCGGUUUUCACUUUUUUUUUUUGGCUUCAUCCUCUUUACGUACUUCCUCGUACAUCAAAGAAAAUAGAAUAACAACACUCUCCAAAAUCUAACUUUGACGCCAAGUAUGGCUACAGCGAUGUUAAUUAAAUCAGUAAAUCUCUUUAGCCAAACCUGGCAACCGGUACGUAGAGUAUUUACAUAUGUUGUUCACCUUGACAAGUAUUUUUUUUAAGUUUAUUUGUAAACAAAUAUGUUGACAUUUGGAAAACCAAAUAAAUAUAUUAUCAAAUAUCAACGCAUAUUUCAAGUUUGAUCUAAUGAAACUUAGUCAAUAUCAACACAUAUUUCACAGAAUCAGAUCGAGUCGGCGUUAGUCUUUCCCCAAACCUCCGCACCUCAUCGUGCGAAGGUUCAGGGCACGAAGGUCAGGCCCCCGUGUCAGAGCCUGGUGACCCUCGCAUCCGGAGCAGCUAGGGAGCAUGGGUGAAUCCCCAAUAGUUCCCCUGUUUUGAGCGUGUGACCUAUCCUGCGGGCCGCGUGCUCAAAAAACUUGCCCCCCUCUAUAUAGGGGAGCCCACGACGCUUUGUUGCCUAAGACUGUGAAACGUAGGUGCGCAAGGAUCAACCUGGUGCGAAGGACCACUGAGGCCGCGCACGAGUCCUUCGACCUCGAGACGACGAAGGACUUCGAGAGGCCGGCUCUGAUCCUUCGACAUUUGACCGGCGGAGGUUUUGGAACCGUUGGCGAAGGAGCGGCGAAGGCCCGGGCUAUGUUAAGGCUUGAGUAUCGAUGUGAUAGCCUGUAAUGUAUCCUCGAGAAGGAAUUACUCAUGUAACCUUGUAGGUCAAUGCCCGGGAGGCAGAAUAUGCCAGAAUAUUCACCGUCACGGGGUGUUUUAGUGGGAAAUCUCGGCCGGGUGCCGAGCCUUGUAUAAAGGGAUUGUAAAUGCUUCCCUAGGGAGUUAGUUGAAAGCAAUUUAUUGAAGCCUUAUUGUCCUAGGGUUUGUUGCCCUGUCUUUUCCACUUGGCGGUCGGGCCCCUGCAGCAUCGGGCAGGAGGACCCGAUCUAUUCACAGUUGGCGAGGGUUGAACAAUCCAACACUGGCACCCACCAUGGGGCUCGAAAAGGAGAAAGCCCACGAUGGUCGAAAAGAGAAGCAACCCCACAAGAAUGCCAGCAGGUACUGCUAGGAGGGGAAGACCGAGGCGCACUGCCUGAAGUAUGUAUGCUUCAACGGAGAACGAGGAGGUCGAAGAUGAGCAACCUACGCAAGAUCAACCUCCUCUUGCGGAGGAACAACCAGAACCCACAGCUGUUCAGGAGCUCCAGCAACUCCAAGCCCAACUACUGAGCCUACAACAAGAAAGGGAUAGGGUUGCAGCAGCCUUCGCAGCCAGCCAGCAGGAGGCCCUCACCACAACGCAAGCAGAAGUGAUUAGGCAACAACUCUCUAUUUUGCAAGCAAAAAUCCAGAGCAUGCAACCUACGCCACAAUGCGACAGCACCGUAGCCCUCAGGAAUGUGCACCCUGCAAGUUAUAGCGACGCUAAUCGAGGAACCAUAGACCUGAAGUCCCCAUUGUCAGAUGGCCUGCAAGCGUCACUGUGGCUAGCAUCUUACAAACCAAUUGUUGAAAGGUCCAAAUGGCUAGAGGGGAGUGAAUAGCCUAUUUAAAACUAUACAAACUUCACUAAACAAGUGUGUUAGUAAAAUAACUGGUGAAGCUAUUCUAGCACUAGCACAACUAAGCUAUGCAAGCCACCAAACAAGUCUAGCAAGAAAGCUAAACACUAAGUCAUAACACAAAAGCACAACUAGAGGCUAGCUACACUCCCAAACAAGUAGACUAUGCUAAAUAAGCUAAAAAAACUAGCACGAUAUGCAAGUAAGUAAAGGAGUGGGGAGUAAUUGUUAUACCAAGGUUGUAGAGUAGAAAUAUAACCAACCAAUCACUCACAAUCACAAGAAAGAAUCCUCGGCAAGAGAUGACACAAGAUUUUUUACCGAGGUUCACUUACUUCCCGGCAAGCUAGUCCUUGUGGCGAUACACCCACUUGAUGGAUCACGAGCUAAUUGGCAAUUCAAAGCCAAACCCUCAGUGGGUGCCGCACAUCCACUCCAAGGGGAUCCUCCAAACCAUGAGCAAUCCACUAGAGUAGCCAAUUGUGAUCUCCCACGGGGAAGGCACAAGAACCCCUCACAAAUCACUUGGUGAGGCUCGAAACAAUCUCCAAUCAUGAGCUCAACACCUCCGCUGCUCCAAGCCAUCUAGGGCAUCGGGAAACACCCAAGAGUAACAAGAAAACCUCAGUAAACUCAAGGAUCAAGUGCCACUAGAUGCAACUCACUAAGCCCCACUAGAUGCAUCUCACUCAAUCUCACUAGAUUAGCAAUCAAACAAGGAGAUGAGUGGAGGGAGUGUUCUCUAGCUCAAAGUAUGUCUCAAAUGUUCCAAAGUGCAAGAGAGAACCCCCCAAGGUCGGCUACCUUCUAUUUAUAAGCUCCCUCAACAAAUAGAGUCAUUGGCUCUUUCACUGGGCAAAAGUCGAGGCCACCGGACUCGCUACAGGUGAGCCACCGGAUACUCAAACCCUACGUCUGAUGCUUAGAAGACACCCACGUGUCCCCUAUUUGAAACUCGUGCGUCGAUCUCUAACGAUCACAUUCAAACCACCAGACGCGGUUAAGUACCCAUCGGACGCGUCUGGUACACACCGGACCCAUACGCAGAGAGGGUGUAAAACGCGUGGGGUCACCAGACACGCACCACCGGACGCUCUCUGGCGUUCGAUGCUCUUUGUCAAAAAUAUUCGCGUUCUUACUUGCUGACAUCACACUCCACCGGACACGCAAACAGUGUCUGUCAUGCGUCCGAUGCUUAGACAACACCAGUGCAAGAAGCUGGUGAGAAACACUCCCACGACUUCCCCAAACUUUCCACUAACACAAUAGAAAAUAUGUGUUUCAUUCUCUCAAAAGCGUCAAAUCCCGCCUCACAAACUCGGCAGGAGGGAGAGAGGAACCCAAACCCCUCUCUACCCUAGGAACUCCACCUCCUUUGCAAAUGUGCUAACAACACCAAGUGACCACCAUCAUUGUGCAUGUGUGUUAGUAUUUCACAAACAUUUUCUCAAAGGAGUUAGGUUAGCACUUUACUAGAUCCUAAUGCAUAUGCUCAAGAUAUGGACCUAGUAGCACUUGAUUCGAGAGAUGACCGUGAUUUCCCUUCUUGAUAGUCAGCUAUCUAUCCUAAAACCGGUCAAUCACUUCUAUACUCAUCUUAGACUGGCAAAAGCAAAACCCUAUGUUUAUACCUUUGUCUUGAUCACUUAACUCCUUGUCUAUCACCAUGAUCUCCACUUCAUGCUUAGUCUCUUUGUAAUCAUGUGGCCACCUUUCCAUGCCACCUUGCACCUUCAUCACAUGUGUUGUUAUGCCUAACUCAAAUCACUUAAAUAUAAGGCAUUAGCAACUUGAUGUCAUUAAUUACCAAACCCAAACUUGGGCUUUCAGUUGUGACCCCCCAAGUUCCCCAAGUUCAAUAGCAAGAUAGACUCACGCUAAUUUUUGAUGAGUUUCAAAGCGGCAGUGGCUUCAGCAGGGGGGGCAUGGGUGAAUCCCCAACAGAUACCCUCAUCGUGUUUAGAGCGGACUCAACUGGAGCAUAAAGCCUAAAAGUGAUUCUUGAUCUAUUCAGGGACCUAUCAGGCAUGCACAUCAAUUAUAGCAAGAGCACCCUGGUCCUGAUUCAUGUGGCUGAGGACAUGGUUACUGAAUGUGUUGACGCUAUGUGGUGUAGGAGAGACAAUUUCCCACAACCAUAUCUGGGCCUUCCAUUGUCAGUCAACAAGCUACCUCUUUCUGCUUUCACACCCUUUAUUCAAAAGACAGACCGGUAUCUCAGCUCAUGGCAGGCCAACCUCCUCAAUCCAAUGGGAAGGGCAGUCCUGGUUAACUCAGUAUUUGACUCGCUCUUGGUUUACUGCAUGAGCUCCUUGUAGCUUCCACCUAUGGUGAUUCAUCAGCUUGACAGAAGAAGAAGAAGAAGAAGAAGAAGAAGAAGAAGAAGAAGAAGAAGAAGAAGAAGAAGAAGAAGAAGAAGAAGAAGAAGAAGAAGAAGAAGAAGAAGAAGAAGAAGAAGAAGAAGAAGAAGAGGGGCUUUUAUGUGGUCAUGUGAAAAGACGGGCACUGCUUCACCGGUAAGCUGCCUAGUGGCUUGGAUCAAUGUUUGCCACUCAGAGAGCUUGGUGGUCUAGGUAUAUGGGACAUGGGCACUCAGAACAUUUGUUUGCUACUCAAACUUCUACACAAGCUGCACUGCCCGAUACACUCGGCUUGGGCACAAUGAUUGCAUACACGGUCUUCUGUUGCUACACUCUCUGGGGAUCUUCAUGGAGACCACUUGCAGGUUCUUCGAACUCUGUUGCCACUGUAUCAGGCCAUCACCACGGUUAGCCUCGGUGAUGGGAAGGCGCGGUCCUUCUGGUCAGAUGUCUGGUGUGCCGAUGAGGCACUGGCUGACGUCUACCCGGCUUUGUUCAGUCACUGCACCAAGAAGAAUGCCAAUGUAAACGAAAUGAUGGAUUUGGAUCUGAGAUGCUGUCAGUCCAGCUUGCAAUCGAUAACACCGUGCUCACGCAGACACCGGACAAGCGAUUGUCCUUAUUCAGCAAGGGGGACGCUGGCCUCGACAGCUGCGCCUGUACCGACUACUCGAAUUUCGGGCCCAACAAAAUGAUAAACAUGCUACUUUUGUUUGGAAAAAUUUUGCGCUGCCGAGAGUGCAGCUCUUCAUGGGGUUGCUACUCCAAAAAAGGAUCCAAUGCCACAUGGUUCUCACGAAGGGUGUGGUUGACGACAGCAUCUGUGAGAUUUGCCAUCAAGCAGAGGAAUUGCCAGAACACAUCAUUCGGGGAUGCAGACUAGGGCAUGGCCUUUGGCAGCGACUGAACUUACCUUCCAUGCUAUCAGCUAAUAUGGGGGUGCCACAUGAGGAAUUCUCGGCCUUCAUUGCCUUGGUGUGUUGGCAAAUCUGGAAGGCACGAAAUGCUAAAGUCUUUAGGAACGACUCACUAUCGCUUGAUCAGGUGCUUGCAUCAUGCAAGGGUGUAGCAGAGCAAUGGUGUUACAGGCUUUCAAGUCGGAAGAAGUCCAUUGCUGAUUCCUGGUGCCAAAUUUUCGAGUUGGCAAGGCAGGGCCAGGGCUAGACACCUCCUCUCUCACCUGUAUUGCAUCUGUAGUUCUUUUCUCUUACCCUGAUCACCCUCUUCGUGAUCAUGUAAGGUAAGUGCCACUGCAGUAGUCUCUUGGCAACUUUUUUGAGGGCCUGUAAGGCCAAUAAAUUUGAUCAGGUGGGGAACGCCUCCCCCUGUUGACCGUAAAAAAAACUUUAACUGAAAACUAGCUAUACCAUGUAACAACUAGGGAGAUUUCAAGGAUAACGCUUCUAGUUCUUUAAGCUUUAAAGUUUACAGGCAUCUCUAAGAGUUACCAUGUAUUCCUUUCUCAUCCAUGUUUUUUAGGAAAAAGGAGAAAAAAACCCAUAUCCAAGAGUUUCUCGUAUCUCUUCCCUAUCUUUCCGCACUUGGCAAACCACGGUCACCUGUGUGCAAAUAUACGCAUGGCCUAGGAGCGCGCAUUCGGAGAAGUAGAAGGAGCUAAGAAAGGAAAAAGGAGGAAAGACAAGGUUCCCAGUGAGAAAAGCGCAAGAGAAAGAUCUAGUGAAAGGGCUAGUGCCAAGAAAAAAACUUUUAGGAUAAAAAUAUAGGAAACUCUUGUAGAUGACCUUUUUUCUGUGCAUACUAAUUUAUGAGUUGACGAAGAAUAAAAUAUGAGAAACACUUGGAAAUGCUCUAAGUAAAGAUUCACGUUGCAUUUGGCAAAAUAUGUCAUAUAAUUUUUUUUCUUCUUUAGCAUUAGAACAAUUGGUUAAGUUAUUGUAAAACUAUAAAAAGAAUAAGUAGAGAAAUAUUAUAUGUUAAAAAACAUUUCUUCACAUGCACAGGACAGAAGAAACAAAAAUCCUCAGUUCACUUACAGUUGUAGAAUAUGCAGCAUGAUGAGACAGCCGUGGACGCACUCUCAACGAUGAGCAAGAAAUUAGAAGUAAUUGCUCUAGAGUUAUCCAAUAAAGGUUGGAAACAUAUUUAUUGUUUGAACUAGCGUCCUGGUCGAUCUAUAAGACUAAGACUUCUUUUUUAUUUUUCCAAACUCUGAAAUAAUUGGCUGUGUACAUCUCUGGAUGUAGAGACCGGAUUCUUUUAUCCAUUAUCUAAAAAAGUUGUAGAAUAUGUUAUGAAAAACACUAGCUCAACUUAGACUGGUUGUAAUAAGGAAUAAUUUACUCUAGCUGAAUAGAAUAAUUCAUGAUCCAGCUUCUACUCGACAGCCAAAGCAAAUGCAAGUAACCAACAGCAACAACCAAUCACAUUUGAGCUUAAUGUGGCAGAGCUCUCAGUUCAAACAUUUCUGGGACAUGACCUCCGUGUCAUAUGCAAGAUAAAUGCAAUUUCCAGCAUAAAUAAAUAUAUACAUCACCAAGGAAAGUAAGGCUGAGAAAAAGGAAGCACAUAUAAAGCAUGGAGGCAUCAUCCUGGAAGCACAAAGAGAAGCAUUUCAAACUCACAAAGGGUAGCAUUUCAAACUCAUAACUUGAAUGUGUCAGGUAGCUCGAACUAGUUCAUGACUAAAUAACUAGCAUAUGUAAUGCUAACCUGCAUGACAUCUUGUAAACAGCUUUCUCACAACAUUACAAAAGGGUUACAUUAAAGCACCGGUAAAAUAGAUAACCAAAUGAUAAUAGAUUUAUCUAGCUUUGCAUCACCAAAUUCUAGUAGAUUUACCCACACUGCUAGCUGCCCCAUACUUGGAAAAUCAAGUUCUUGCUGAACAUUCAGAGAAGUAUCCCACAAGCAACAACCUAGUCCUUGGUGGCAAGAACCGGUAACUCUAUGUAACGGGGAAUGUAUGGGGUAAUAUAUAGAUAGUCCUCUCCUAGACUCCGGAGAACAUGCAGUUCCUUACUAUCCAUGUAAUAUGAUACCAGUUUCUGGUUCCAGUGCUGAACAAGGAAUAUUGAAUUGUGAUCUGGAUGAAUGGCCACGAUAUCAAAAUCAUUGAACGGGCAACUCAGUGAUCCAAAGAACUGUGAACAACUCACAUUGUGCUUCAGAAUCCAUUCUUGUGUAUCAUAGUCCUCAAGAAACCAAACUGACAGCUCUGUGAAUUGGAACUGGAGGUCUUUAAAUUGCAGAUCCGUACUAAUGCAGUGCAGAUGGCCUUGGGAUUGAUCAAUAAAAGCAGGAAUGUUAACUCCAUGCUUAUCAUGCCAACGGAUGACCCUGCAAAUUUUUGCUUCCCCGUCCACCGCAACUAUCAGAUUCUCCUUUUUCUCAACAUGGUAGACAAUAAAAUGCAACAAACCAUUGACCAAAGCCUUGCCGCACAUGAAUCCGAUUAUGACUUCACCCCACAGUCCCCAUCCACCGCCCUCUUUACCUCGCUCCAACUUGCUUGACCUAUUACUCCAUGCCCUAGUUUCAGAUGAGUAAGAGUGCACCAUUUCUAUCUCCACCUUCCCCUUCAGAUUUAUCCAGAAUUGGACCAAGUGGAAGCGUGAGGAGACAACAGGGUCAAACAUCAGAUAGGUGUGUGCAUAUCUUUCCCCAUCAUCACCAUCAUAGUUCUCUUUCAGUUGAGGUGGAGACGGACAAGAGCUAGAGCUGGCGGGCACAGUCACCAAUUCCUCAGUCGCAGGGUUGCACACAAUGUACCCAAACUUGUUAUCUUGGAUGCACCCAAAGAGCAAGAUCCCGUUGCAGGAAUCCAAGAGGGCGAUACGCUCGACCCCAGGUUGCUUCGCCAUGAGGAAGGAGAAGGAAGGGUCGACUGGAGGAGCAUCUUCUUCACUCCCUGGUAGGCUGGUGAAGUGCCCAUAGCUGUAAGGCCCGUCAGCACCACCGUGGAAGAAGCCUUCGAGGGUCUAGGGCAGCUUCUUGCGGUGGAGGGGGUCGGCAAUGAGGUCGCGCCAGGGUUUCGACACACACUUGGAUCGGCGGACAUCCUUGACGGGCACACAUGAGAGGAUCUCCACCAUUAGGUCAUCAUAGAGGCCCGCCACCGCCGUCCCCUUUGCGCAGUCCAUGUCGCCGGGAACGAGGAAGGGAUGCACCACAAGCUGCAAUUUUUGCGGAGAAUCAAGUGAGGUUAGGGGAUGGAUGCGCACAAGAGAGGCGCAGACCAAGAAAUGCGACGGAUGGGGAAUGUACCGGCUGCCGGAGAGGGUCCGCGUCGACGGCGGCGUGCUAGUCAGGGGGGGUUCGGGGAAUUGCCCAGAUGGGGAAUUUUCUAAACCCUUGCAGCUUUGCACCUCCUGACUCUCGUGUCUCGCCUCAUUACAUGGUGAUUAUUAACUUUUUACCAUUAUUACCAUCGGUACCUCCUCAGAUAGAAACUUUAGAAUUGCCACUACAUCUUCACUGGUAGAAAGAGAAAACAACUACAAAUUUACUAUAUUUGCUCGCGUGGCAGGAGGAGACCCAGAGAGACAACUGACAAGUGGGGUCUGGUUGUCUGUGAGUAGAAAGACAUCAGGGGUAGGGGGGCGUCAUUUUGGAUGGGGCUGGUGACUUGGAUCCGUGCUAGAGUGAGGUGUUGGCAUGCCACGUAAGCAGAAGUGGCAUUUUUGUAUCGAAUUUCUCUUCCUGCUACUAAUAUGUAGUGCCAGUCCUAAGAAUGCUAUGUCAGGGGUUGACAUCCAUAAUAAUGGUAAAAAGUUAAUAAAUAUCCCUAGGACAGGAGUCCAUAAUUGGGGGACCAAGGACUGAGGAGUUGCGGUACUUGGCCACUUGGGACUUGGGAAGGAGAAGUCUAGGUGCAUUUUUCUAAUAGCCCAAGGAUCAAGGUGUGUUUUGUAAAUGUGCCAGCAUUAUAAAUUGUCAAAUUAAAAUUAAUCGUGGGAUCCUACUCCCUCAGUCCUGAAAUAGAGUACAUUGUUUUGAUUUGGCAAGAUUUGUUAAAAAGAAAGCCAUAAUUUAAGAAGAAACUCUAUAAUUAGAAUAAUCUAUAAGUACAUGUGUCAUUUGAUUGUUCUCUUAAGUUGUCUUAAAAUUUAUAGAACAUACUACAUUACAGGACAGAUGAAGUAUCUAAGUUUAUCAGUUAAAUAGAACUAUAUAUAGCAGGUGCGGGCAUGCGAUAUUUCCUUACUAGAUUUCAGAAAAGAAAAAGAAAACGAACAAACAAUCAUGUUUGCUCUUCUUUGUAAAUGCAGUUAUAAACUGAAAGGUUAUGGCACAUCAACCCCCCGGAACAUGGUACAACGUAUAUAAAUCUCCUUGAAGGUACUGAUCACUCUCUCCCUAUUGGUCGUCCAAGAAAAUUAAGAUCUAAUUCUAGAUUUGGUCCGAGUUAAACUAUCUUUCAGUUUGACUAAGUUUAUUACAAGAAAUAAUAUCAUCAUGCGUAAUUAGGUAUAAUGAAAAAAAUAUAUUUGUUUGACCAAUGUAAUAAUAUUUAUUAAUUAGUAUAUUAAACAUUACUACUUUUUACAUAAAUUUGGUUAAACUUUAGAUUGUUAGAUUUAGUAUCAUUAUAAAAUUGCAUCCUUUUUAUUGAAAUGGAGAGAGUAGAUCCAAACUUACAUGAUUUGGUUGUCACCGGAAUCAGAUUGUCUAACUUCAGAGGGAAUGACUGCACCUGCAGUCGCACAAUUUGUGCCGUCGGCUAAGAUCGGACGCCUCUACGCAUUUACCGGCCUGCUAUGGUCUAGCCCAACCACAGUCCGUCCUCUCCCCAGCUCGUCGAGAUGCAACAUCCCCUACACAUGAUCGAGUCGCAGACUGGCGCCCCAUGGGCCAUGGCUAAAGUGCUCUCCUCUGGUCUGCACUGUUCUUCCCCUCCGACUGCUCGUCACAGCUAUAUACAAGACGAUGUUUUCAGCUACUUUCUAGAUUUUUUUUUUGCCCAUGAUGAUGAGCUGAAUCGAUGUGCUGUUAAUUUGUUGCAUUUCACGACGUUGGGUACUAUGUGGUAUGCCAUCUUGGAUUGGAGAGCUACUCCAGAACACUGGAGAGCCUAGCUUUUGUGCUUCUGUCUCGGAUCCAAGACGUUCUCCAUGCCGACACCGUCAACACCUGCGAUCACAACAAGUGUAGGAGACGGAUGCAGCAGCAUUAGCGCACCAUCCUUCUCCCAUGUGCUUCUGGAUUCCGAGGGAAGGGGCCGUGUUUUGCAGUUCUGCUCAUGAGAUGUUCAAGACACAAUAACAAAAGUGCUACAGUACCAAAAUCCAAAAAAACUAUAGAUCUGAACAAGGUCCAAAUGAGUCUCCUAUUGAAGACAGCCUUAGUAUGCUGCAGUCCCAAAUUAGAAUUCGAGUCUUAUAUUCUAAAGAAUAAUGACAGGAGGCAAAGGCAAUUAGAUAAACUAAACAUUGAUUAAACAAUCAAUAAGAGGGGCUUGGGGAACAGGAGCAAUUGGGCACCCCCUUUACUUCAACACGUACGGAUGUCUCGUAUAGUGGUAGUGUCAUACUCGCUUGGCAGGGAACUGAGUUACGGAGCAAGUGAGAGGAGUAGCCAAUACGCAUGGCCGAUUGGUGACGACGAUGAUGCUGGACGGCGGACGCAAAGGCGCAGCGAUAAAGCCACGAAGGAGAGCGGCCAUGACUGGCAACUGACUCUUUCUUAUGCGCCUGAUAUUUCCUAUGAGCCAACCACUCCAUUGGUCUUGUUUAGUUCCAAAAUUUUUAGCAAAAUAAGCACUAUAGCUUUUUUAUUUGUAUUUGAUAAAUAUUGUCUAAUUAUGGACUAACUAGACUUAAAAGAUUCAUCUCGUAAAUUACAGACAAACUGUGUAAUUAAUUAUCCUUUUUAUCUAUAUUUAAUGUUCUAUGCAUGUGUUGCAAGAUUCGAUGCGAUGAAGAAUUUGAAAAUUUUUGCAAAAUUUAAGUGUGUUCAUAAGGACGAGUGUACGUGCAUGUUGAACGUCUACGUCUUUCUUAAAUCGACAUUUUUUUAACCUCAAAUAGAUAUCUUAACAAUGUUUGUAUAUGCAGUAUAAAACAUAGCAAACUUUGGCUAGUAAUAAUAUUGAAAAGAUUUGGCACAUUGUAUGCCGAUUUGAAAUAUUGAAAAGAAUUACUUCAAAGUCAUUUGUAUAUUUUUUCACUAAUUAUAUGUCGGAAUUAAUGUUCAAUUAUAUUACUAGAGCUAGUGACUUCAUCAAUCUCGAGAUUUGUCGGUCUAACUCGAUUUUUUUGAAGUGUUCAUAGGAUAGAAUGUGCGUGUGUGCGUUUAUAGAGGUGAAUGUGCGUUUGUAUUUAUAAGUUUCUACGUCUGUAUAUAUAGAAGUCAUUUGUAGUCAUUAAAGAAAGAAGAAGGCCUUGUUUAGUUCCUAAAAAAAACUAAAAUUUUUUCAAGAUUCCGUGUCACAUCGAAUCUUGUGGCAUAUGUAUGAAAUAUUAAAUAUAGACGAAAAAAAACUAAUUACACAGUUUACCUGUAAAUUACGAGAUAAAUCUUUUGAGACUAGUUAGCCCAUAAUUAGACAAUGUUUGUCAUAUAAAAACUAUCUAAAUUUUUUUCGGAAGUUAACAAUGCCGAAGUGAGAACCCGAUUCCUGCUCUGCUUUGUUUCCUCGAACCUGAUUGGCCCAGUAACCCCUCCCACGGAUCGUCUACCCCGGAUCCCCAUCCAACCGUCCAUGCCCCCGCCGAUCGGACCGUCCAUCGCGUUCGCACGCGGAUCGACGGGCCCACCACCCCACCCUUUCCGCGGGGUUUAAAAGCAUCCCACAGCGCAUCCCCUUCGUCAUCACACGCUCUCUCCUGCUCCCUCGCAUCCACAGCCUCUCGAGCUCGAAGCGCCGCAGCAGCACCAGCCCAGCAGCCAUGGACGUGAGCGGAGCCGGAUCCGGCGGGAAGGCGAAGAAGGGCGCGGGCGGGCGGAAGACCGGCGGCGGGCCGAGGAAGAAGUCGGUGACGCGGUCCGUCAAGGCCGGGCUGCAGUUCCCCGUCGGCCGCAUCGGGCGGUACCUGAAGAAGGGGCGGUACGCGCAGCGCGUGGGCACGGGCGCCCCGGUCUACCUCGCCGCCGUCCUCGAGUACCUCGCCGCCGAGGUGCUGGAGCUGGCCGGGAACGCGGCCAGGGACAACAAGAAGACCCGCAUCAUCCCGCGCCACGUGCUCCUGGCCAUCCGCAACGACGAGGAGCUCGGCAAGCUGCUGGCCGGCGUCACCAUCGCCCACGGCGGCGUCCUCCCCAACAUCCACAGUGUGCUCCUGCCCAAGAAGGUCGCCGAGAAGGCCGCGGCCGCGGCCAAGGAGCCCAAGUCGCCCAAGAAGGCCGCCAAGUCCCCCAAGAAGGCAUAGAGGGGCCUCCAUGGAGAUGUUCAGUAGAUCUGUAGUAGGUCUGUAGAUGGCACGGUCUCUGAGCUCUAGUGUCGUCGUUGUUGUUGGAACUGCUUAGAAGGUCUGUGCAUUUUGGUUGGAAGGUGAUUUCAGAAAUCAGAGAGUUUUGUACUUGCAAAAUGUUCUUCGAUUUCAGAAACCAGAUUUACAAUUUGGGUGCAUAAAUCUUCUUGUAGUAGUCUGACAUACAAAGCAGUCACAAAUUGUGUUCAUUUUUGACAGCUAAUGGUCGACCAAAUUAUAGGGGAUAGCUUAGCACAAGCUCAAGAACGGUUCCCUCAAAAAAAAAAGAAUGGAUGAAUGAACUUCGGUUUUGUUUAGUUCCGAAAAGAUUUCGGUACUGUAGUAUUUUAUUUUUAUUUGAUAAACAUUAUCCAAUUAUAGUCUAAUUAGGCUCAAAAGAUUUAUUUUGUGAUUUACAGAUAAACUGUGUAAUUAGUUUUUAUUUUCGUCUAUAUUUAAUACUUUAUGCAUAUGCCGUAAGAUUCGAUAUGACAGAAAAUCUUGAAAAGUUUUUGGUUUUUAGGAUGAACUAAACAAGGCCGAAGUAGACAAGUGAAAGAUCGGAAAAGAAAGUGCAUGACUUCAUGAGCUAAGCUGAAGGUCAGUUUUGCUGUUUCAUUAUUUAACAUUCAAAAUUCAGAACUAUUUACGCUAAUGCACAGCCAAGCUGAACUUAAGACACCACACUACUGAUCUCAUUUUGGUGAUUUUCACUCGUUGAAUCUGGAACCCUGAAUCAGAAUAAGUUCUGAAGGUAAUAGAUUUUCAGCUAAGCAAAGUUCUACCUACUAGGAGGCUAAGGACCGCGCCUCCACCUGCUCUUGGACCGUAGCAUGAGAAACGUUGGACCAUAAUAACUGAACAGACCUUACUCAGAGUCUCACAUCAAACAUUAUCAAUAUCUAACAGGAGUUGCUAACAGCUAGAUCCACACCAACAGACAACAAACAAGUUCCUGGUAGAUGACUUAAGGCAACAGUUGGAUGCAACACAAUUGUGUUUCUGUGGAAGCACCUAGCUCAACUCAACCGUAGACUGCUGUAACAAAGAGCAAUUGUCUGUGGCUAACCAUAAUACAACCACCUUCCACAACAAUGCUAAAGUACUUCAAAUAAUCACAAUCUACAAUGAACAUUAAGCUCUGUUCUAGGAAACAGUUUCCUACAAAAAUGUUUCAGUUACUGUUCAGAUGUACAGUGAGAAAAUUUGGUUUGGAAACUGGAUACAUCAUGAGGUCAGCAUCAACAUCUGACUGUAAUUUGUACAGGGCAUUGAAUGCCAAGCUAAGAAAUAACAAAUCCACAGGACUAGCUAAUACAUCGUAUUAGAGCAUCAAAGGAAAGGGGUGUCCACGAAUUGCCAAAACUCCAAGGCAAGCAUGGAUUGGUCACUGGCCAACACCAUAAACAAAACUGGGAAGCUCCCAAAGGUUUUGCAGUUGCAUCAACUGGGCACGGGGUAGAUACUUUUCUGCACCAUUAGUACACAACUUUGGAUCAAGCACCACCUGACCAACUUCAACCACACUCCAAAGUUCUUUAGAAUCUGCAGACGGGCUGGCAAUGUAAAUACAGUUCCUUUUCCCACCCCAUUUAUCAGGACCCGGGCAAGAAAAUGUUGGAUUCCUCCUAUCAAAACUAAUAAAGAGGGCAUUGUCUCCCAGAUCAUCCACUUUUACCCACUUAGCUGGUUCAACUUGAAAGUCAAGGCGAAAUACAUUAAAGGUUCCAGCUAUUCCAGAAAAUUGAUUGAUGCUUACUGAGAAGUCAACCAAGAGAAGCAUGUCACCACAGACCACCAACCACGGUGCAUUCCACAGUCCUAGAAACAUGUCCGCAUCCCAGACAACUGCUACUUCCUGCGUGCUCAGCUGAGGUUCCAACUGUACUCUGUGGAGCCUCUCAAGGAAGUCAAUGGCAAAUAUCUCACCUUUGAAGGACACAAUUUGAACAAUGCAUUGGACACCCAAAGGGUGCUCAGACCAAAAGUUUGAUCCAACCUGCCACUGAAACAUGGAUGAUCUUGAGCAAAAGAGGAGACGGGAAUUAGGUAAAUUGAUCGGAGCUACAAGGGCUCCAUAGUACACACUGCGGUUGUCAGUGAAUUUGAGCUUGGGAGGCCGCACGGUAGCACCACUGUACACAUCGACAAGGAGGCAUUGCUCCAAUUUGGAGAAGAUAAGAUAACCAUAUGAGCAACCCAAAUACUGCAUGUGGACCUGAAGGUUUUGGAGCGCUGAACAGCUAAGGGAGGAGGUUUGCUUCGCAGGAUCAACAAGCUGCCAACUGAUAUUGGAUAAAAGGCUGUGCUUGAUGUACCUGCGAUGGGGAUGAGAAUCAUGGCCAUUUGGCCGAAGGUGGAGAGGUGGGAUGUUGAAGGUAAAUGCAGGUGGGAGUGGGAGGGAAGAGAGCACAGCGCGCCAAGAGCGGCAGGUGCCAAUGAAAGCAAGGAGAUCAUGGAAUGAGCUAACGAGGACAAUUAUUUGGAGAAGCAGGCUGUCCAGAAGAUCUGCCCAAACAUCAGGGCUAGGUGCGGAAGAUCGGGUAGAGCUUAAGGCAUGGCAGGUUUUCUUGGAUGAGCUUUCUGCAACGGUGACUUCCCUGUCAAACACAGCAAAUUCAAUGCUGAUGGAUUAAUGGGACAAAUAUGAUAAAGAAUAAAAUGUUAAAAAUGCAAAAUGUUUUUGAUACAGACCAAGGUAUAUAAGGGAUAUCCAUUUCAUUAAACUCCAGAACAGGAUGCAUAUCAAACAUCAAUCAAAGCAAAGUACGACAAUACCACCCACAACUAGUACAUCAGCAUAGAUAUAUUUCUCAGUAGCCUAAGGAAUCCAUGUUUUUUUUUUUGAAUCUCAUGAUGGGGACAGUACUUUGAAUCAGGUACCCCAAAGACAUAAAAAAACAGAAGUUAAAUUUAAAAAGGAAAAUAAGUUUCCAUUAUUAUCUGGACGGUUUGGCUUCUCAGGGCCAAACUGGUACAUUGAGCAGCUGAACUACACCUUUGGCCUUUGCUAAAUCUCAGAAAACCAUGCAAUUAGUUCCAGGUAAGAUUUUUUAUUUUUCAAAUUUUAAUAGUUCCAUCUGAUAAGCUCUUCCUGGAUCCCUGUGCUAUCACGAAACGAGAAUCACAUGGUGUACUAAAGGUACUACAAGGCAGUAAUUUAUCUGAACUCCAAUAAGGAUCUCUUAGGAGAGGUGCGAAUGCAGUAACAGUAAUCUGGUACACAAGACACGUUAACCGAGCUCGGAGGCCGCAUAAACAUAGUAUUUAAUACAACUGACACGCUUUAGCAGUUCGCAACAAACAACAGGCAAGAAACCUCUGAUUUCAGUGAGCAUAAGCAUUUUAGGCAGCGAGAUAAGGGCACGAAUCCAUGGCCGAAAAGCACACCAAACCAACACGAGAGACUAUUGCUUGACGCAGGAUAUAUAGGCUCCCCCUAGUCCCUACCUGCUGGCUGCUUCAAUCUGUCUCCACAUCUAUCUACCCAACGAAACUGUACCAAAGGGAAACAAAGAGCGGCAUGGAGCGAGGGUUAGGGUAAGGAACGCGGGCGGACCUGAGAGCGUUGGAUUCCAGCGGCGGGGGCUCUCCUGGGGAAGGAAGCGGCGGCGGAAGCGCUUGUCGGGGAUGCCCACGCCGGUGGCGGCGGCGGCGGCCGGCCAUGGGUGACGGUGACCUGUGUGUCUCUGUGCGUGUCGCACGAGUCGGCAGGGAGGAGGAGACCAACGAAGAGGCUGUUCUGCUGUUGGAACUUAAGCGGGUGGCCCAUGGGCCGAACCUUGGGGAUUUGUUGGGCUGAUUUGGGCCCAGAGGCGACAGGUGAGGCCCAUCAGCAUCAGGCCGAAAUGGAAAGCGAAGAAGGCAGCAGAGCAGGAGACAGGAGUUUAGGAAAAAGAUUUGGUCAAACCUUAAAUCAAGAGUAAAAACAAUAAUGACUUUGUUUUUCGAGGACAACAAACAUUAUUGUUGUGACUAGAUAUGAUGUCAUAUGUAUGGUUCAGUAUGGAGUGUACAGGUAAUUCCACUGUUUGGAUAAGGGCUCGUUCAGAGUUUUCAGGAUGCAGCAGAAAUAAAUCCGACUUCCAAACAUUUAAUAAUUGUCAUGAAAUCAGCGUCAACUAGGAAGACAAGUAUUAUAAGAAAAAAAUACAGAUCACCGACUAGUAACAAUUAGUAACCAAUAGCUAAGUCCGAUAAAAAAUGCCCCAAGGCCUUGUUUAGUUCACCCAAAAACCAAAAAGUUUUCAAGAUCCUUGUCACAUCGAAUCUUUCGGCACGAAGCAUUAAAUAUAGACGCACAGUUUAACUGUAAAUCGCCAGACGAAUCUUUUGAUCUAGUUUGUCCAUGAUUAGACAAUAUUUGCCAAAAACAAACGAAAGUGCUACAGUGGCGAAAUCCAAAAUCUUUUCGCAUCUAAACAAGGCCCAAGUACAUUUAUAGUUUUGAAACACCAAAGAGUAGCAUCACAUAUCUUCAAAACAAACCGUAAAACCAUAAUGAGUUGGGAAACCGAAUUCAUUUGAUAACUUAGGCCUUGUUUAGUCCGUGAAAUUUUUUGGCUUUGGCUACAGUAGCACUUUCAUUUGUAUUUGAUAAUUAUUAUCUAAUCAUAGACUGACUAGGCUCAAAAGAUCCGCCUCACAAAUCACAAGCAAAUUGUGUAAUUAGUUAUUUUUUAUCUAUAUUUAAUGCUCCAUGCAUACAGUGGCGUAACUAGGAUUUACAGCUAUGGUGGUCCAUUGUCUAAUUUUUUUAAGCCACGAUAAAAUUAACAUGUCGGUACACAAGUCUAUGAAUUACAAAACACAAUUAAGAAAAAAAACAUAUAGAGUUCAUAAAAUAAACGAGUCUAACUUUCUUAACAUAGAAUUUAAAUAUUGCAUACCUAUAAUAGUUGAAGAACAAUAUAUCACUAUUUAUUUUUGUGAGGCCCGCGCCUUUUAAUAGCCUUGAAAGUGUUGAUGAUAUCUUCCUCGCUCAACUGUAAGAAGAUAUCCCUCAAUAAAAGUCACUAGAUAAUCAUCCAAAAGGCUAUCACCCAUCUUAUUUCUCAACUUGUUCUUGAUAAAAGUUACCGCUGGAAAUAUUCUUUCAACACUUGUGGUAGCCACCGGUAGAAGCAAUACCAACUUGAUAAGUAAAUAGACCCAAUGAUAAACUUUGUCCCUCUUUGUUUCAACAAGUUUUACUGAGAGGUCAACAAGAUUGCUUAUGCCUUUGAAAAACUCAUUUGUUCUCAUGUCAUUAAUAAAGUUUUCAAGUUGCAAAUCGAGUCUUAGCAAGUCAGAGCUUGGAAAUUCAUUAGGGUAAAAUUCAGCAAGACUAUGUACCUUGUUUGCAUCAAAAGAAGCAAUGCGCCUUUUAAUAGCCAUGAUAGUGUUGAUGAUAUCUUCCUCGCUCAACUAUAAGAAGAUAUCCCUCAAUAAAAGUCACUAGACAAUCAUCCAAAAGGCUACCACCCAUCUUAUUUCUCAACUUGUUCUUGAUAAAAGUUACCGCUGGAAAUAUUCUUUCAACACUUGUGGUAGCCACCGGUAGAAGCAAUACCAACUUGAUAAGUAAAUAGACCCAAUGAUAAACUUUGUCCCUCUUUGUUUCAACAAGUUUUACUAAGAGGUCAACAAGAUUGCUUAUGCCUUUGGAAAACUCAUCUGUUCUCAUGUCAUUAAUAAAGUUUUCAAGUUGCAAAUCGAGUCUUAGCAAGUCAGAGCUUGGAAAUUCAUUAGGGUAAAAUUCAGCAAGACUAUGUACACUACACCACAACCUUUAAACAGCGAUGGACAAUCCGUUGUUAAAAGGGGUGUACACCAAUAGAUAGUCCGUUGCUAAAGGCUAUAGCGACGGACCGCUGUCGUUGCUAUUGAAGCCGUCGUUGUAUGUAUACAGCGACGGACAUCAUAUUUAGCGACGGACAGUUCGACAGUCCAACCUUUAGCAACAGACAGCCUGUUAGAGCUUUUAGCAACGGACAAUCCAUCGCAAUAAGAACUUUUAGCAACGGACAGUCCAUCGAGCUCAAUUAAAUAGAUAAAAAAAAAUAAAAAGCUGCUCUAAACGUAUAGCCGAUGAUCAAACAUUAGCCAUACCUUGAUUCACAUACACAAAAGUGAUCAAAUUAUCCAUACAUUGAUUCUUAUAUCGACCUAGUACAUUAUAUAUAUAUAUAUAUAUAUAUAUAUAUAUAUAUAUAUAUAUAUAUAUGUAUGUAUGUAAUGUCACUUAAUAUGGAACUAGUCAAAACAUGAUGAGUAUCAAUCUGCAGCAACAAGAGGCAAAGGUGAUCUGCCAGGGUCUUAUAUACAUGUCACUUGCUAAUUAUAUACAAUAGUCACUUGCUAAUUACCAAUUUCAUAUUACAUGUCCCACCAACAUACUCUAAGUAAACCUACUUGCUACCCGAACUAAGAUAAGAAGCUCAUGUAACUGAUUAUCCAAAAGAGAGAGACUAGCACCUAAAUCAGCUUCGAGUGGCAAAUCAUCCACCAACUUGCUAACUAGCACCAUAGCAAACUCUGAAACCCAAACCAAACAUGCAAUUAGUAACAUGUUUAGGCAAAGUUACUAUGCUUCAUUUUUUGUUAAAUUAAUUGGAUCUUAAAUAAUGAGUUUUCCAUAUCUUUGAAGCUUACAUAUGUGUUGAGAAAGACAAUUCAUGUAGUAAAUAGAUGCUCCAUAGAAACCUAGUCAAUUAACACUUGUGCUACCCGAGCUAAUGUUGCGGUACAGACAUAUGCAAAUUAGAUCUCAUUGUAUCUCUUGUUUUGACUUGUUUGCACUAGGGUUCAACGAGAUAGUUUAGAUGAAUCAAAAAUGAAAAAAAUUAUCACAGCUAUCUCAAAGUCAGGUUAUUUUUUGCCUACUAACUGUACAUGUGCCACCAGCUCCUAUCUCAAGUUUCCAGGAAGCUUUUUCUCACUGAAAAUAUGCAAAUGCAGCCCAUGUAAAGGAAAAUAAACUAGGAUUUAUUGCAACAGUGUGUAUCACAUAGUCUAUAUAUCACAAAAUAGUUUAUAUAUCACAGAUCUGCAUAAGAUUGUUGAAUUGAAUAUUGAACUGCAUAAAUCAAUCCUUUAUGUGCUAGCAAUUGACAAAAACCUGAUUACAACUUUAGAGCAAUGCAACUCACCACAGAGGCUAGCCACGUCCUAGUUCUAAUGGCUUGAACAUGAGGAAGACUCCUUAUCCUGUAGUAGCGUGUACUGUGAGCUCCGUGGUUGCCUCUGCUAGCUCGCUACAUAUUGGACAAAAACAACCUGAGCACAAAUAGGUAAAUUCAUAUAAGCUCAUGUUGAAAUAAUAAGUAUUUGUUCUUAACUUUGCAUAAAUAGAUGGUCUCUUGUGCAAGGACUUGUUAAAUAUUGCUAGUGCUAUUCUUAAUUUGUAAAACUAAACAUGUUACACGUUUCUCUGUGAAACCUGAAAUUCCUUGAGGCAAGUGAUCAGCAUAUUUAUUUCCUACUAAAACCUGAAUGAAGGGCACUGUGUUAGGUUCAAGAGGCAUCACUCACUCAUAGUCACUCAGUCACAGCCCCUGCUGUGAACUUUCUGUAAUCAAUUUAACACAUUUGACUCUUUCUACCUUACUCCAUCACUGGAAAUUCAUUUAAAUGCAAAUAGAAAAGGAUAUGGACUGAAUUAAUCACAGAAAAAGAUAUAAACAGUUUUAGGUAGCAGUACUAUCACAGUCAAACAUUAGAUGCACUAGAAACUUGAUCUACAGGCUAUGUUACACUCUAAAAACUUUAAACAUCUAACAUGUUGAAACUGUGAGACAUUGAGGGCUCCCUAUCCUAGCCUAUUUGCACUUAUUGCAACAUUGAGAGAAGCACUGCUAUCAACAUGGUAAACAAAGGAACAAAAGACUGUACAUAAAUCUCUAUCUACCCGUCGAUCCCUCCUACUCAUAUAUGCCAAUUUAUGAUUCACAAAAGAAAAAAUGGGGAAAACGCAAAGGGUAAGCAGACAAGUUUUCUUCUAUAGAUAUGUUAAUUACCCACACAUAUAGAAGCAGCAGUAGCAUACUACGCAAAACAGGUAAUUCCUAGGCUAAUAAAAAAUAAGAUCAAUUAGCAGCCAUAUCUGAAUCUGGAUCAAUCCACUGUCAUUCUGUAAUCCUGAACAUAGUCAUCCUUGAAUCGGCAGUCAUAGCUGCAACUAACUAAAGCAACCCAGUUAAGAAGAACUAGCAGAGAAGGAUACAUGAAACCCAAAUUCAUUUUGAAGCAAACCAGUAACCGUUAAUUAGUUCAGUUGAAGCGGAGGGAAGUAGCUCGGACCUCUCGGCGCUGGCGCUGUUGGAGUGGAGGUGAGGAGGGCCCCAUGUGCUGGCGCUCGUGGAGCUUCUCGGCACAGGCUGUGCUUGCUGGCUCGUGGAAAUCAGUCAUCAUCAAAGCAGAAAUCUGCUUGCACAACCUCCCUGCAUCUAGCUAAAAAGAUCUCCUUGCAUGACCUGCAUUGAGCACAGAAAAAAACAUUGAUCUAUACUUCUUGCUCGUUUCCUGAUCCAUACAAAAGGACAAAAGAAAAAAAUGAAAGAUGCUUUAAACUCUGUAUAUACCCUCUCUGGCAGCUUGCUCGUUUCCUGAUCCAUACUUCUUCCUGGCUCGAGUAAAUACAAAAGUAUGAUAGCCAUAAGCAUUGAUCUAUCUAUAAGGUAAAUGAUCUAGUAAGUAUAAAAUUCAGAUAUAUAAUAGCCAUGUAAACAGACUUGAGGAAAACACCACCUAAAUUGAAAAAGUAACAGAGAUGUAAAAUCAUACCGUAGCCAUUUAUCUGAUGCACAGUGCAACACACUUACAUCCACCAAAAUUAGUGCAGUACAGCUCACCUACAAAUUGCAUUGCAUAGCAUUUUUCAAGUGUUUGUUCUUGAGCUAUUCUAUACCUAUACCAAAGCCAGCAACACACAACAACCUGCCUGUCAAGGGGUAAAAACUAAAAAACGAAAUGCAUCACAUCUCAGCUGAAAUUGACACAAGGGACAUUAAUCCACAGGAAAUUACAGACAUCAUAGAUCAGGGAACCAUAUCAAUUUGGGGAAAGGAGAGAACCAGCUAGGGUUACCCAAAUGAAAUCCAUAAACUAUGCACCUGGAUCCCGCCGCUGCCGUCGCCCUUCUGUCGGGAUCUCGCCGUCGUCGCCACCACCCAGGAUGGGAUCCCACCGACACUGGUGCCUUUGCUUGAAACUGUGCCAGGAUCCAAACGCUCGCACUUCAGGCACCCAAACAUGGCUGUGGCGGGGGCGGACUCGUCCUGGGGCGCCGCGGCUGAUGUCCUGGGAUGGCGUGGGCGCGGCUGACUGUCGAAGGCGGACAACCCAGUGACGGACGUCGGGGCAGGGGCUCGACAGCUGGUGGGGCAGGGCACGGCCGGGCGACGGGGCAGCCGACAGGGGCAGGCGGGCGAGCGAUGGGCAGUCGUCUGGUGCCGCGCGGGUUGCAGGGGCAGUCGGGUGGGCGAGCGUCGUGUGUGGAGGCGGCGCAGGGCAUGUGGAUAAGUUGGUUUGGUCUUGGAGAAAUGUAUUUGGUCUGAGUGAGGUGAGUUAGGGUUUACAAUUGACUAUUGGGCUAUAAACAUCGCGCCAAUGCGAAUUCGUAUAUAGCGACGGACGAUCCAACUUUUUUUUCUCGAAAACGCAGGAGAGCUGCGCUUCAUUAUAUUAAGAAGAGAAUAAAGGGCAAGAGCCCAUACAACACCACACAAACCCACACACACACCCACACAAACAGACUCUAGGAUUACAUUCGAGCCGGAGACACCAAAACAUAAGACGACCACGACUGAGCUAGACACUCUAACUACCAGGGAGGAGGGCAGCCAAGAAAGAAAGCCCUCGAGCCCCAGCCAUAGACCACAGGUGGCGUUCCUCGCCAGCCAAGAUGAGCGCUUUGGCAAGGUUCGGAGCCGCACCAUCAAAAACACAACUAUUACGAUGGUUCCAAAUAGUCCAAGCUCCAAGAAUGAUAAGUGAAUUGACUCCUUGCCUCUUCAAUCCGACCUCGGAGAUGCUGCUAGCAUCAUCCCACCAAGCAUGGAAGGAUAGAUCAGGAGAUUGAGGGGACAAGUUUUGGAGACCGACUUGUCGGAAUAGAAAGAACCAGAAUUCUCUUGCAAACACACAAUUCACAAGGAGAUAGUCAAUAGUCUCCUCUUCUUGGUCACAAAGAGGACAGCACUCAGGAUGAGGCAAUCCACGACGUGCGAGUCAAUCAGCUGUCCAGCACGCGUUGUGCGCGACCAACUCAAUUACUUAUAUAUAGCAACGGAUGAUGCAACGCAAAAGUAAAAUGUUUAUAGCAACGGACCAUCCAUCGAUGUAUUGAAAUUUAGCAACAGAUGAUCUGAGGGGCACCUUUAGCAACGGUUUAUUCAACGCUAAUUUUUAUCUUUAGCAACGGAUGUCCGAUGCUAUUUUAGUGUUGUGGUGUAGUGGUACCUUGUUUGCAUCAAAAGAAGCAACACGCCUUUUAAUAGCCAUGAAAGUGUUGAUGAUAUCUUCCUCGCUCAACUGUAAGAAGAUAUCCCUCAAUAAAAAUCACUAGACAAUCAUCCAAAAGGCUAUCACCCAUCUUAUUUCUCAACUUGUUCUUGAUAAAAGUUACCGCUGGAAAUAUUCUUUCAACACUUGUGGUAGCCACCGGUAGAAGCAAUACCAACUUGAUAAGUAAAUAGACCCAAUAAUAAACUUUGCCCCUCUUUGUUUCAACAAGUUUAACUGAGAGGUCAACAAGAUUGCUUAUGCCUUUGAAAAACUCAUUUGUUCUCAUGUCAUUAAUAAAUUUUUCAAGUUGCAAUCGAGUCUUAGCAAGUCAGAGCUUGGAAAUUCAUCAGGGUAAAAUUCAGCAAGACUAUGUACCUUGUUUGCAUCAAAAGAAGCAAAGGAAUCUGCUAGAUUCAAAGCAGCCAUACAAGUAAGAAACUCCAUAUUUACCUCAUCAAAUUGACUGUCAAGCUCUUGACUAAUUCAAUGACUCCAAUAUAUACUUCUCUUCUGAAGUGAUCAUCAUUUGUUUGGUUUGGAGCAAAACGUGUUGAUCUUCCAUAUGGCACAUAAUUAUUUUCCAUUACAGGAACUUGAAUGCCAAAUUUGUUGCAAAAUAUAUAACCCUUUGAAGAAAUGAAACCCACCCAUCAGACGUCAUAUGUUGCAUUUUACUCUUUGCCAAACGAACAAGUGACAUUGCAUUAAGAAUAUCUUGAUCUUUUCUUUGCAAACACUCAGAUAAUUCAUUUGUGUGUCCAAGAAUAUCAAGCAUCAAAUGAGCAUUGAAAAUGAAAUCAAAUGACUCAAACACUCCAACCAUAGUAUGUAUUUUUGGCCAAUCACCCCUUGAUGAAGUAUCUUGUCCAAGAGAUAUGAGUACAUCGCGAAUUGUGGGACACAUAGCAAUCAUGUUGACCACAGUUUUGUAAUGAGAGCCCCAUCGGGUAUCACCAGGUCUAGGCAGCCCCAUCUUUUGAUUUAACCCACUUCCAGAUUCUAGUAUACCACACUCAAGUGCUUUCAUGACAUUAUCAUAUUGGUGAUGUCGAAGCAUUCCAUGACGCUUACAAGAACUACCAACAAUGUUUAGCAAGAGGGAUACUCGAUCAAAAAAACACACACAAUCACCACUGUCUUUGGCAACAGCAAAAAGAACCAAUUGGAGUUGAUGUGCGAAACAGUGAACAUAAUAAGCAGAUGGUGAUUCUUUUAUGAUCAAGGUUUUCAGCCCUUUAAUCUCCCCUUUCACGUUACUAGCCCAAUCAUAGCCUUGCCCACGGAUUUGAGUUGUAUUCAAACCAUGACUAACUAGUAAAGAUUGAAUUGCUUCCUUAAGUGAUGAAGAAGUAGUAUCAUCUACAGGAACAAUUCCAAGAAACCACUCACAUGGCCUUCCUGAUUUAUCAACAUAACGCAAGCAAAGGGCUAGUUGUUCUUUAUGGGAGACAUCACUAGACUCAUCAGCUAAAAUUAUAAAGUAAUCAUCACCAAUUUCCUUAAUGAUUUGAUCUCUUGUCUUCAUUGCACAACAUUGAAUAAUUUCUUUUUGUAUGUCUGGACUAGUCAAAGUGCAAUUACCUGGAGCAUUCUUCAAUACAAACUUGUCCACCUCUUCAUUAUUUGCUUCAAGCCACUUCAAAAGCUCAAUGAAGAUCCCUCUGUUGCUAGACUCUUCACUUUCAUCAUGCCCACAGAAUGCUAACUCUUGCUGCAAAAGAAACCUCAAACAUCUAAGUGAAUAAGUCAACUUGAUCUUGUAAAGACACCGCUCCUCACUACCCACCUUCCCAAUUUUAUCAUCAAUUGCUCCAUGGGGAGUCAUAAAUAAGUUGUAUCUUUCUUGAGCUGCAUUGUGAGCACUUGUUACACUACCCACAUGUAAAUCAAGUGCAUCAUUUCUAUUCCAAGUUCUCCAGCCACCUUCCACAAAUGCAGAUUUCUUAGUUUUCUCCUUUGCAAACAAGUAGCACACAAAGCAAAAUGCUGCUUCCUUCUUGAUACUAUAUUGAAUCCAAGGAUAUUUAUAAAACCAUAGAGGAUUGAAUUGUUGAUCCCUUUGUCCAAUUUUUCUACUUUCAAAUUCAUGAGCAUAAGGUUGGUAUGGGCCUUUGAUGAUAUAAGAUCAUCGAAUUGCAUCUUGAUCAUUGACAGGAUAAUUUGCAAUAGGCUAUCUUUCCCCUGGAUCAAGUGGAAGCCGACUAAUAUCAUAAACUGGUGGACUUGGAGUUGGAGGCACUGGAGUUGGAGCCACGUUUUCUUCAAUCACUCUAUCUUCAUCUAGCCUAUCUUCUUGUUCUUCAAUUUCCUCUUCUGGGAUAGCUGUAGCCAACGAAGGAGAUGGAGAAGAAGCCUUCUUCUUUGAUUCAUAUUUCUGAAAAAGAGAGGCGAUAUCACCACUCCUCUUCAUUUUUAACAAAUCUGCAAGAUAAAUAAACCAGCCCAAUGUUUCAAUUAAAUAUUUAAAUUAUUUCAGUGAUACAAUAAAAUUUUAAAAUUACGAGUGAAGUCAUAUAUGUAAACCUAGUCAUGGUGAGAUAGAGAUCAAUCAGAUUGAUCUAAUUGAACCCUAGGUCAAGUGCCGGACGCAUGUGAUACACGGCGGUAGUAGAUGGGAUCUACUGCUGGGCGGCGGAUUGCCGGACAAAGUGUUGUUCGGUAAAACAGCCGUAACUUUUGAUCCGUAACUCGGAUUGAGACGAUCUCUAAACGAAAAUCAUAGAGAAAAAAAUUUUACAUCUGAUUCUCCACAUGAAACCGUGUUCAGAGAAAUUAGAAUUGCGAACAAAGGCCGGGAAAAUAGAGUUUUUGGAUCCACAUAGAUAUUGUCCACCUUAUGUAAUGGCCUGUGUGCCAAUCUGUGAAGAUCCUACCCGCAACUAUGUAAUUUUCAUUCACUGCCUUGUGUUAGUGAUAGCUAGUCUUGGUGGAAUCAUUAAUGGAGGAUGGCGUACGUGGAUCAUGGAGAUGGAGAUCACCAUGAUGAACAGAUAGAUGGAGAUGGAGAUCCCCAAAGUGAUAAUGGGCUAUACCAAGUCAUAUCUAUGUUAAUGCCAUUCUUACUAUGUUCUACUUUCAUAUGCGAUGAUGUUUUGUCUACAUGCGCGUGGUAGUGAAGUAGAACGAUCCCUCAGCAAUGUUUAAGUUACAUGCUCCCCAAACCUUGCACUGUCAUGUGUCUUGUACAAUCAGUGGUAGGUCUAUGAAAUUAGGGUGCCACUGGUUUUCCUUGACUAGGCAGGUUCGUAUCGGAUACUUACUGUAGAAGGGUUGGUUUCUUGAACAAGGUCAUACUAAUGGUUAGGGACCUUGGAGCAUAAGUAGUUGGGCAACACAAGCAUAGAGAUGCCACCCCAACAACAAGAGUCAUAUGUGAUAUGAUUAGCAAGGAGUUUCUUACCUAUCUACCAUAUCUACUAGCUGUGAUGCUAAAGCUCACUAGUAUACUUGUUAGUUGUGGGUCUUAAAUCACUAAGUAUCAAUUGAGGGAUAUUGAUUUUAGUGGGAGUAGAUUUUAUUUAAUAUUAUUUACUCUGUCUUGGAUACGUUGUCUUAGUAUUUUGUAUUACUUUUAUUGUAGAUUAAUGGCGCCCACCAAUCAAACAUUUACUUUGCACUCAAUUCUUGAGAAAGAUAAGUUGAAUGGAACAAACUAUGCAGAUUGGAUCCGCAACCUGAGAAUUGUUCUCAGGGCUGAGAAAAAGGAAGAGAUUCUAGACACACCAUUAACAGAAGCACCUGAGAUUAAUGCAUCUACUGCAGAGAAGAACGCUUACAAGAGAGCAUGUGAUGCGGAUCUUGAAGUUUCUCAUAUCUCUUCCCUAUCUUUCCACACUUGGCAAACCACGGUCACCUGCGUGCAAAUAUACGCAUAGCCUAGGAGCACACAUUUGGAGAAGUAGAAGGAGCUAAGAAAGGAAAAAGGAGGAAAGACAAGUUCCAGGUGAGAAAAGCGCAAGAGAAAGAUCUAGUGAAAGGGCUAGUGCCAAGAAAAAAACUUUUAGGAUAAAAAUAUAGGAAACUCUUGUAGAUGACCUUUUUUCUCUGCAUACUAAUUUAUGAGUUGACAAACACCAUAUUUUGAAGAAUAAAAUAUGAGAAACUCUUGGAAAUGCUCUAAGUAAAGAGACGUUGGCAUUUGGCAAAAUAUGUCAUAUAAUUUUUUCCUUCUUUAGCAAAAGAACAAUUGGUGAAGUUAUUGUAAAACUAUUAAAAGAAUAAGUAGAGAAAUAUUAUAUGUUAAAAAUCAUUUCUUCACAUGCACAUGACAGAAGAAACAAAAAUCCUCAGUUCAUUUACAGUUGUAGAAUAUGUUAUGAAAAACACUAGCUCAACUUAGACUGGUUGUAAUAAGGAAUAAUUUACUCUAGCUGAAUAGAAUAAUUCAUGAGCCAGCUUCUGCUCGACAGCCAAAGCAAAUGCAAGUAACCAACAGCAACAACCAAUCACAUUUGAGCUUAAUGUGGCAGAGCUCUCAGUUCAAACAUUUCUGGGACAUGACCUCCGUGUCAUAUGCAAGAUAAAUGCAAUUUCCAGCAUAAAUAAAUAUAUACAUCACCAAGGAAAGUAAGGCUGAGAAAAAGGAAGCACAUAUAAAGCAUGGAGGCAUCAUCCUGGAAGCACAAAGAGUAGCAUUUCAAACUCACAAAGGGUAGCAUUUCAAACUCAUAACUUGAAUGUGUCAGGUAGCUCGAACUAGUUCAUGACUAAAUAACUAGCAUAUGUAAUGCUAACCUGCAUGACAUCUUGUAAACAGCUUUCUCACAACAUUACAAAAGCGUUACAUUAAAGCACCGGUAAAAUAGAUAACCAAAUGAUAAUAGAUUUAUCUAGCUUUGCAUCACCAAAUUCUAGUAGAUUUACCCACACUGCUAGCUGCCCAAACUUGGAAAAUCAAGCUCUUGCUGAACAUUUAGAGAAGUAUCCCACAAGCAACAACCUUAGUCCUUGGUGGCAAGAACCGGUAACUCUAUGUAACGGGGAAUGUAUGGGGUAAUAUACAGAUAGUCCUCUCCUAGACUCCGGAGAACAUGCAGUUCCGUACUAUCCAUGUAAUAUGAUACCAGUUUCUGGUUCCAGUGCUGAACAAGGAAUAUUGAAUUGUGAUCUGGAUGAAUGGCCACAAUAUCAAAAUCAUUGAACGGGCAACUCAGUGAUCCAAAGAGCUGUGAACAACUCACAUUGUGCUUCAGAAUCCAUUCUUGUGUAUCAUAGUCCUCAAGAACCCAAACUGAUAGCUCUGUGAAUUGGAACUGGAGGUCUUUAAAUUGCAGAUCCGUACUGAUGCAGUGCAGAUGGCCUUGGGAUUGAUCAAUAAAAGCAGGAAUGUUAACUCCUUGCUUAUCAUGCCAACGGAUGACCCUACAAAUUUUCGCUUCCCCGUCCACUGCAACUAUCAUAUUCUCCUUUUUCUCAGCAUGGUAGACUACAAAAUGCAACAAACCAUUGACCAAAGCCUUGCCACACAUGAAUCCGAUUAUGACUUCACCCCACAGUCCCCAUCCACCGCCCUCUUUACCUUGCUCCAACUUGCUUGACCUAUUACUCCAUGCCCUAGUUUCAGAUGAGUAAGAGUGCACCAUUUCUAUCUCCACCUUCCCCUUCAGAUUUAUCCAGAAUUGGACCAAGUGGAAGCGUGAGGAGACAACCGGGUCAAACAUCAGAUAGGUGUGUGCAUAUCUUUCCCCAUCAUCACCAUCAUAGUUCUCUUUCAGUUGAGGUGGAGACGGACAAGAGCUAGAGCUGGCGGGCACAGUCACCAAUUCCUCAGUCGUAGGGUUGCACACAAUGUACCCAAACUUGUUAUCUUGGAUGCACCCAAAGAGCAAGAUCCCGUUGCAGGAAUCCAAGAGGGCGAUACGCUCGACCCCAGGCAGCUUCGCCAUGAGGAAGGAGAAGGAAGGGUCGACUGGAGGAGCAUAUUCUCCGCUCCCUGGUAGGCUGGUGAAGUGCCCAUAGCUGUAAGGCCCGUCAGCACCACCGUGGAAGAAGCCUUCCAAGGUCUGGGGCAGCUUCUUGCAGUGGAGGGGGUUGGCGAUGAGGUCGUGCCAGGGUUUCGACACACACUUGGAUCGGCGGACAUCCUUGACGGGCACGCAUGAGAGGAUCUCCACCAUUAGGUCAUCAUAGAGGCCCGCCACCACCGUCCCCUUUGCGCAGUCCAUGCCGCCGGGAACGAGGAAGGGAUGCGCCACAAGCUGCAAUUUUUGCGGAGAAUCAGGUGAGGUUAGGGGAUGGAUGCGCACAAGAGAGGCACGGACCAAGAAAUGCGACGGAUGGGGAAUCUACCGGCUGCCGGAGAGGGUCCGCGUCGACGGCGGCGUGCUAGUCAGGGGGGAUCGGGGAAUUGCCCAGAUGGGGAAUUUUCUAAACCCUUGCAGCUUUGCACCUCCUGACUCUCGUGUCUCACCUCAUGACACGGUGAUUAUUAACUUUUUACCAUUAUUACCAUCGGUACCUCCUCAGAUAGCAGCUUUAGAAUUGCCACUACAUCUUCACUGGUAGAAAGAGAAAACAACUACAAAUUUACUAUAUUUGCUCGCGUGGCAGGAGGAGAGCCAGAGAGAGACAACUGACAAGUGGGGUCUAGUUGUCUGUGAGUAGAAAGACAUCAGGGGUAGGGGGCAUCAUUUUGCAUGGGGCUGGUGACUUGGAUCCAUGCUAGAGUGAGGUGUUGGCAUGCCACGUGAGCAGAAGUGGCAUUUUUGUAUCGAAUUUCUCUUCCUACUACUAACAUGUAGUGCCAGUUCUAAGAAUGCUAUGUCAGGGGUCGACAUCCAAAAUAAUGGUAAAAAAUUAAUAAAUAUCCCUAGGACAUGACCACGCAACUGCACGACACUGCUACUACGCGCAUGACUACACCGAGUCGCUUCCGCUGCACCUGCGCAUCUAGUGGUAAUCCCGUGAUCUAUAACUUGUAGUUGAUCCUGUUUAUGAGGUCGAAAUAUUUGUUUUCUAGCUAGCGUAGCAUCCUCGUAAUCCUUCAGCACAGUGGCGGCCAGCCCAACAUAGUCCACGGCCAAAUGGUGAGGGGUACUACACUUUGGGCCAAAUCUACAAGGUGGUCCAUGGACCACUCUGUCCACCUUGUAGCUCCGCCACUACAUGCAUACGUCAAAUAAUUUGAUGUGAUGUGGAAUCUUAAAAAUUUUUGAAACUAAACCAGGCCUUAUAUAAAUAAAGCUGUACAAACAUCUCAGUCACCUUCCAGUAUUAAUUGAAACGGUAUUAAUCGAAACCAAAUAAUAACAGAGGAUACACAGCUAGUGAAAGGGAGGAAACACUCUGCCUCAUUUCCAUGGCAGUAGAAACCUGAAUGGCCAGUGAAUCCACAGAAGCAAACUAGAAUGGGUAACACGAACUGAUCAAACAUUUUCAUGCAGAUUACGGAUGGAACAAAAAAAAACAGACGAGACUGAAUUCCCUUCAAACAAGCAUCUCAAGCUGUCAAUAAUAUACAAAUACGAAUGAAGUACUAGCUACGUCCUUCCAAAUAUAUAAAUAUUUUUUAUCCAAAGAGUGAUUCAUGCAACACAAACCGACUUCUCCAUAUAAUCAUGGACUUGAAAGGAAAUUGACCAAUUCUUGUUUAGACUAUAUUGAAGAAUUUGUUACAUAAUCAUUACAGUUGAAAAUUAGAUUAUGACUCCAUUUACCACUUUAUAUGGAGCUGAAUCAAGUUAGAAAUCCGUUUUGUAAUGCAUUCAGUCUAAAUUGAGGCUAACCUAGGUGAAGCUAAAAUGAAAGAUUUAUAACCUUCAGUGCACGACCGGGACCGGCAGUCACCAAAUUUGAAUAUUAAUCUCGUGCGCAGCACAAUAGGUACUUUUUUUUUUGCGAAAAUGCACAAUAUAGGUACUAUAAUGUACCAAAUGGUGGAUUAUCAAAAAAAAAAAACAACAAAAUGGUGUCAAAAGGUCAUAUUUGUUAUACCUUUUGAGCAAUCAGGUUAAUUCUCAGGUAAAAACAGGAACAUCAAGCAGCUCGCUUCAGUUAAAAAGUGAAAGAUGUAUGUUCUAGAAUAAAAUGUUGUAUGCCACAAAUAUAUUGCAAAGAAAAAUGGUAAUAGUACCUAAAUGUUGCUUCAUCCAAAAGAAGCUAUCAAAUAGAACAAGAUGGGAGGGAAGCUUUAUUAGAAUUAUAGGAACAAUCAUUGCAUGUGUAUAUGGGAAAGCUAGCAUCAUUCUCCCUUCAUUUGCAGCAACAAACUAGAAAUCUUUUGGCACUGGAAUUUGAGAUGAAAUGCAUUCAAAGUGAGAUCAAAUAUCAAACUGCAGGGUGCAGGGAAAGAAACAUUGUUUUGCUAAAUGUAAUUUCUCUCCACGACACUCUUAAAAAAAUGCAAAUAAUUUGCAUGUAAAGCAAUCUCUGCACCUCUAUCAGGCCAAAAUUCUACUAGGCUGCUACAGCAAGGUUCAAAUUACUAUUCCCCAGCACAGAUUAAAGCAAUGGUCCGAAAACACUAUGAAUAUCAUGUAAUGGAGGUGGAGCUUUCAGUCAAAAGCAUUCUGAAAGAUGCACUGUCCACACUCCCAGCAUACAAAAGAUACACCAUGGAAACAAAAUCUAGAAGUCAUCGAUCACUCACUGGAAUAUUUAUAAGAUGAUUAUCAUUCUAGAAACACAAAGAGUAGAGUACUAAAACUGAUAAUUUGAAUACAAAACAUCCGAAGCAGUGCAAUAAGCCAACUGCAUACACGAUAACUUGCCCCAAGUCUCAAUUGCUUCCUGGCAGUAUUUAUUCGACCAAAAACACAAAAAGGAAUACAUCCAAGCACCAGCAAAAUGCACCGCCUAAUUCCAGUUGAACAUCCCAAGGAGUAUGAUAAAAGUAACCAACAGUGAUUAAUUUGAAUAAAACAUUGCUAGUCUCUUUACACUAUUGUUGGUUGCCCCUCCAGAAAAUCAGUUGAAGCUCUGCCGCUGAGCACAGGCACAUCCGCGAAAUAGGGAACAUAAGGGAUAAUCAGCCCACAACCAUGUCCUAGAGUGUAGAGAUCACACACUUCCUCAGUAUCCAUGUCAUAUGACAUCAGUUUCCAGCUGCAGCGGUGAACGAAGAAAACCAAAUUGCGAUCUGGGUGAAUGGUGAUCACAUCUAAGUCAUUGACUCCACAACUCAUUUCUCCAAACAGCUGUGAACAACUCACGCUUUUCUUCAGGACCCAAUGCCCUGCAUCAUAGUCCUCAAGAACCCAAAUGGAUAGUCCAGUGAUGUGGAUGGGAUGGUCUUGUUUUUUAUGUGCAGUGAUGCAAUGCAGGUGUCCUUGGGAUUGACCAAUAAAAGUAGCAUCAGUAAAUUCAUUCAAGCCUGGCCAGUGGAUCGCCAUAAGUUUCUUCCCUUGCAUGUCCGCCACAACUAUCUUAAUAUCCUGUCUCUGUGACGGUGUUAGUAUGGGCUGCGGGUAGACUGGAACAUGCAGCAUGCCAUUAACAUCAGCAUAGCCCAACUUAGAUCGCACUUCGUCAAGUUCCAUCCAUUCUCUCCAUUUUAUCCAUUCUGUAGUACUAUUUCUCCAAACCCCAGUUUCAGAUGAGAAGGCAAGCACAGUGUUGACUAACCUAGUUUCGUCAUUACUGUGCCAGAAUUGGAGCAGGUGAAAGUGCGAGGAGACAUCCGGGUUGAAAAUCAGAAGGCUGUUGACUUCAUUUGCAAAAUGUUGUUCACAAUCACAUGUUCUGGGCGGAUGUGAACUAAUGCCAGGGCUGGGCACGCACAUCCAUUGUUCAGUGGCAGGGUUGCAAAUGAUGUACUUGUAUCUGUCACAAUCAAUGAAGUUCUCAAAGAGGAGGAGUCCAUUGUGGGCGCUCAAGAGUUUGAUUUGCUUAAUCUCAGGCAGCUUUGUGAGGAAGGAGAAUGAGGCAUCGACGAGAGGCACAGAUUUCCCUGAUAGGUUGAUGAAUCGCAAAUCAUUCACGCCACCGCCAACGCUGCUGUCGAUGAAGAAACCCUCUAGGGUUUGGGGGAACUUUCGGCGGCCAAGGCGAUCGACGAUGAGGUCGCACCAGCCUUUGGAGACGCACUUGAACCGGAAAAGUGGCUUAGCGGGGAGGCAGGAGAGGAUCUUCACGACGGGGUCAUCAGGGAAGCCAUCAGCUGCAGCGGCCUUGGUCCUCUUGGGGCCAUCCAUGGUACUACGGAAGCAGUACCUGGAGGUGAGUUGAGGCUGCAAGGAGAACGGUAUGAGCAUCGAGAGAGAAAUGAAGCGUGGCAAAAUUGUCUGGGGAGCUUACCAGCCACAGGAGACAAUGGGGAUCAACAGAUCAUCAACACAAGAGCACUGCUGGUGUGUGGUGUACAGCAACCUUAAAAACUACUCUAAACGCAUUGCCAGAUUCAAUCCUAGGAUGAAUGUAAACAUAAAAACAUUCCACAGUUAGCCAUAUACCUAGCCCAGCCAAUCUGUUGCCCAUAAUGGAAAGAGCAGGACUUACCAAGGGGAGCAGCCAUCAGGGUCUGUGGUCAAACAUCCGGAUCGAGUGCCUAUUGCAUCACCCACCUACGAAUCAACAACAAACAAAUGAGUUCAAGCCAAAAACACAGAUUGUAGGAAAAAUCGCCGUGGAACCCUAACCCUACUUCGUCAUAAUAAGGCGGCGGCGGGGGGUGGGGGGUGGGAUGGGGGUGGUAAUGGCCUCACUUACCUGCCUUAUGUUCGGAGCGCCUGUGGGGACUGUAGAUCUAUGGGGUUCGAUCGAGCAGGGCUCACCGUCUUCGCUGAAGUAGAGCGUCGUUGUCUCAGUCGUCGUGGAGCUGAGCUCGGGAGAGGGGAACGGAGAAGAGGAAGGGGAGGGUGGGGGAAUGAAUGGGAACGGGGUGACUAAUGGAUCAGGGCGAGAGCAUAAUCGAGCCAGGGGCAAGAAUGUAUUUUUCCCCUACCUGAUCCAACGUGGUAGGCUGAUCUGGACUAACACGACGCAAGAAAAUAGCAAAAAUGAAGCAUCGGACACAGUGCAUGCGGCAAAUGUUUAAUUGCCAAUCUAAAGCUGGCAACUGAAGGAGUGGCAACCAAAUGCGAUAGCAGAUACUUUUCUUCCCUUGCUUGUCCACCACAGCUAUCUUGUGUGUGUGUGUGUGACCAUGGCGAGUAGACUAGAACAUGCAUCAUGCCAUUAACAUCCGCACAGCCCAACGUAGAUGGUGCUUUGCCAAAUGCUAGCGGUUCUCCCCAUUCUGUCCAUUCUCUAGUACUAUUUCUCCAGACCCAAUUUCAGAUAAGACAUGCACAUUUUGCAAUGACAUGAUACCAUAGCGCCAGUGCCAGAGCUGGAGCAGGUGAAAGUGUGAGGAGACAGCCGGGUAAAAAAAAUCAGAAAGUUCUUGACUUCACUUAAGAAUUCGUCUUCAGUGAUCUUUAUCAGUGGAUGUUUAGUAGUGCCAGGGAAGGGCACGCGCAUCCAUUGUUCAGUGGCAGGUCUGCCACGAUCGAAGGAGCACGCAAACAGGAGGAGCCCAUUGUGGGCGCUCAAGAGGUCGAUUUGCUUAAUCCCAGGCAGCUUCGUGAGGAAGGAGAAGGAGGCAUCGACGAGAGGAACAGAUUUCCCUGACAGGUUGUGAUGAAUCGUCAAUAAUUCACAAAAUCACCGUCGCUGCCACUGACAAAGAAACCCUCUGGGGUUUGGGGAAACUUCCUGCGGCCAAGGUGAUCGAUGAUGAGGUGACACCAGCCUUUGGAGACGCACUUGAACCAGAAAAGCGGCUUCGCAGGGAGGCAGUUGAGGCUGCAAGGGUAAUGGGAUGGUCGCUCGGCCAAUCGUGUUGAGAGGCCAAGUACGGUCAGGACUCUUUCUUUUUUUUAAAAAAAAUUAUUAAUAUUUAUGAUAUCAACUAAGUAUUAUUGGGUUCUUCAUUAAUUGUAUUUUCAUAAUAUAUCUAUUUGAUGUUAUAAAUCUUUGUAACUUUUUUUAUAAUUUUGGUCAAACUUGAGAUGCUUUGACUGUUCAAGAUUCUUAGAAUGACUUAUAAUUUGGGAUGGAGGGAGUAUCACUUUCUUAUAUUUUUAUAUAUUUAGAUAAAUGCAUAUUACCUCCGAGCCACUAUAGGAACAUAGCUCCAGAAACAGCUCUUUUAGACCAGUACACGUUCUGAGAAUAUGAAAUACACUGGCCCCAAAGGUGUGUCCAUUGCUGAUUACGAAGAGGUGCAAGAAUAAUAGAUGAGGGAGUACUGUAAGGUGUUCCAUCAGGUACUGAAAAACAAAUAUGUCCUGCUGAGUCACAAGAAGACAGCAAAAAAAGAAAGAUCAUAUUAUUAAGUGGCUCAGAAGGGGAAAACAUUCAUUUUCUAAAGAACUGAUUACCACACGACAAAGGUAGUUAUAGCCUAAUGGAUUUUUGCUAUGUACUUCUGAUGCAAAACUGGGCCAAUGUGAAUCUAGAUUAAACAUGAUAAUUUUCUAUUUUAACAUGCUUCAGUUCUGAAGUCUUUCCCCAACUACAAAGCCUGACAACAGAUAUAUAAUGAAUAGAUACCAUACAAGAACAAAUGAAGGUUAUUAAAAUUUUCACAACUGUUCAUAUCUCCUUCCUAACCACUAACCAGACUAAGAUUGAUGCCCCUGUGACUAACCAAUAAACUACAGCAGCAUAUAUAUCAAGAUUUCUUUGAGCUUCCUCACCCAAGCAAAGUGUAGAUUUUGCAAGGAUAUUCUCGGAUGCCACCAUUAUCAGAGCAUCCUGUCCAGCCCCAUAUGUUGAAUUGGACUAACCGCCAAAGUCAUGUUCCUUACUUAGGACUCACAUCUAGACAUAUUAGAAACAAGAUUGUCAAAAUCUCAAUUCUAUCAGAUGACUUAACGAUUCCCUAUGGAUAAAGGAGCUUGAUUCAUGAUUCUACUAAAUAGAAUAUAUCUUUUUAGCAUUUUCAUAUUUAAGUUUAUGAUUGUGAUCCAAUUUAAUGACCUCUGGUCCGAUUUAGGAUCACAAUUUUGACAACCUCAUUCUUCUAUAAUAUCACAUAAUUGAUUAAGGAAGAGAUGUAAGGUCAGAAAGAUAAUCUCUGGCAAACUUGCAGUGCAAAGAUAGCUGAAAUUCAGCAUAUUGGUACAGAUGAAUCAAUAAGAUUGCUACCAUAAAGCUAAAUUACCUCUCAUAUACACAUUAGAUCAAUGCUGUUUUUUUCUCUAGCUGAAUUUUCAAGGUUUUGCCAUCUCUGAUAUUAUAGUUGGCUUAAAUUAUUUUUGUCACUCUUUAUUCAACUGAUAUGCAUUCAGGAAGAUUAUUCAUUCUUGCAUGUAUUUCUAUUGGAACACAGAUAAAUCAAACUGAAUGAUGCAAGCCUGCCUGAUAUAAAAAACUGAAAGUCUAAAACUAUGAAACAAACUGUCUGCAGCUAGAUCAAACCGAACGAUAAAAACCUGCUACAUCAAACUAAAUGACCAAACUGAGAUUGUCUGAUGGACAAACUGAAGAUUUGUUUCAUGGCCAAAGUGAACGCAUUCCACAGCCUAAAACUUAAAGAUGAAUGCCUGAAACUAUGAAUGACUGAACUUCAACAGAUUUAUGUAUAAACCAGUUCAUGCAGAUGACCUGAUUUUUGUUCACUGAAUGCCCAGGCUGACUGGUUGGCGAUCAUCUGAAUCGGCCAUCAUCACCGUGCCUGUCGGUCACCUAUUGCCAGAUGAUUUACAGGAGAAGUGAGUUGAGACAGAGCCUGCACAGACAAUUGAACUAAAAUGAUGAACGGUGAUGGCUUGUUGGGUGCCGACAACGACUGAUUAAACUGACCAGCAGUGAUCCAGCAAAACAAAACUCACCAUGACGAAUGGUGAUGGGCUAAUUCCGGCAGUCCAUGGUCUUGACGAAGCACAGUGAGGACAGGGCAGAACACCAUGGGCCGCCUGGGGCAGCGAAUAGACUCACGGUGAGCAUCAUCGGCUGAAAGAGGAAGCCGCGGUGAGUUGGAGCUGAAGGAGCACCACCGGAUCAUUGUAUGCCACUGUCUUUGCCAGCCAAAUCGACAGUGGCUGCGAUGCCCUUGAGCUCCUCGGCCGCCAAAUUCAGCCAGGACUAAAAUUUACAAAGACAAGAAAACCCACCAGAUAAAUACUACUGGAAGUUAAAAUAAAAAUAUAAAUACUACUGGGUAGAUAAGAUACCAUAGCUUAACUUCUCCAGACUGAUGACACUUCCAAAACAUCUUCAUGUACAAUUAAGCACAACAUAACACGUCCUAAUAACACUUGACUCUGUUAAAAACAAGGAACCAUAAAAUCAGAAGCAAAUUAAAGUGCUUUAAAUUUACCAAUCGCAUGCGUGGCAACUGAAUGAAAUGUCAAACCACACUACCACAGGCUAAUUGGAAGCGGGGACUGGAUAACCAAGCAUGCACAGCAGCAUCAUGGAGAGGGUGUAAUUUUGCUUGUUAGCCUUUUUGGCAGUGGCUUGCCAUCCUUGAGUUAUCGGUAACUAUUCCUUGUGUUCAUCUUUACUUGCUCGCUGACGUUGAUAUGCUUUCACCGAGUUACUUUGAUUAGUUUUGGGAACCUAGAAUAAGAUCACUUUUACUGAAAUAACUAAUGUUGUAAACUUCAUUGUAGACUUGCUUUCCCAAAUGUAUGAACUUACUCAUGCUGGUGCAACAACCUCUCAAGCUUUGAGCAAAAGUACCACAUUGAAACAGUACAAGAAGUAGACACUUUAGUCUAAACGUGUCUUAAAAUCAGAUGACUUCAUCAUAAGACUAAGGACCAGAUCUUCUUGAACUCCUCAAGAGUAGAAAAACAAAAACGGAGUUUCUUCAGCAAAUUAUAAAGCUAUUGCUCUAAAAACAAAUAAAGCCAAAGGAUGCCGAAAUAAUGAUAGGUCUUAUUGCAAGGACUCCCCUCAUUCAUACUUAACAAAAGUUCAGACUUGCAGCAUUACAAUACUAAAAUUUACAAUGAUAAGAUCUAUCAUAUACAUACUACAGGGUAGAUAAGAAACCAUAGCUUAGCUUCUCCGGAAUGAUAACACUUCCAAAUCACCUCAGCGCUGAUAGCAGUUGGUCAUGUAUCUAGUAUAGCAGGGCCUAAGUAUUGCCCAUUGCAGUUUUGUUUUCUUUUCUGUUUCAGUUGUGUGGCUGUAAUAGGCUUGCUUGGGGGUCAAGAAGAUAAGACCCUUGGCAGCCAAGUUAACUAGGAAUCUACUCUAGAAUAUGCCUAUCCAAGAGGUAGCCCUCAGCCUAUAAGAGCUGGAGAUUGGGCAAGGGUUUUGUAACCGAGAUCCACUUUUGCAAUUCAAUCAAAAGGCCAUAGCAGGCAAACUGCCCUCUGGCUGUUGCCAGAUCAAUCUCGUGUUCACCUAGUUUAUCCAACAAUUGGUAUCAGAGCGAGUCCUUGAUCCUGAGAGAUGGCCACCUCCGCAGAGAGAGCAGCUGCCACCGCAGCAGCCGCCGGGCAGCGUGCGCAGCGUCUGGCAGCGGCAGAGGCCGCAGCCGCGCAAGCGCAGCAAGCCGCGGAGGCCGCAGCAGCCGCAGCCAGGGAGGCCGCUACCACGGCCGCCGCCCUGCGUCGAGAGCUCUGGGAUGAGCAGCCACUUGAGGAGGAGGAGCCGCACCAGGAUCUGCGCGAGGAGCCGCGCGAUCGCCGCCGUCCGCCUCGGAGGAGCCCGGACCGGAUGCGCAGGCAGUCGCGGUCGCCGGAUCAGGAUCGCCGUCGCGGACGUGGCGGCAGGGGCCGCUCGCCGGUGAUCCAGGCCGUGUACAAGGACUCCGGCGGCUCCACCACUUGGCCGAUGCUGUCCAAGACCAACUACCACGAGUGGGCGUCGAUCAUGAAGCUGAAGCUUCAAGCUCGCCAACUUUGGGACGCGAUCGAGUACGGCGAUCUUCCCCACCAUGAGGACCGUCGCACCGUCGAAGCGCUCAUCGCCGCCGUUCCUCAAGAGAUGCAGAUGCCGCUGUCGGAGAAGGCGACGGCGAAGGAGGCGUGGGACUCCCUCGCCACUGCACGCAUCGGAGGAGAACGAGCUCGGCGCACCGCUCUACAACGUCUACGCCGCGAGUGGGAGUUGUUGUCUUUCCGCCCAGGUGAGCAGGCUGAGGAUUUUACUCUGCGCCUGGUUGCUUUGAAGCAGCAGCUCGCCCUCCAUGGCGACACGGACAUCAACGAGGAGCGUGCGGUGGAGAAGCUCCUGCGCGCUGCACCGGCCAAGUACGCGCAGCUCUGCAUCGCCAUCGAGACCCUCCUCGACUUCUAGGACCUCACCAUCGAGGAGGUGUCGGGUCGACUGAAGGCGGUGGACGAUCUGCAGGAGGUCCCCGGAGAGCCCCUCAUCAUCGCCGGCAAGCUGAUGCUCUCGAAAGAGCAGUGGCAUGCAUGGCAGAAGGAGAGAAAGAAGGGCGUCCAGGACUCUGCUUCCGCCAGCGGCAAGGAGCCGCGGCGUCGCCCCCGUGGCGGGAAGAAGCAGAGGGCCAAGAACGAGCGCCGCGAAGACGACGGCGAGCGCAAGGCCAACCGCGACGACAUCUGCCUGAACUGCAAGCGGCCUGGUCACUGGGCACGCGACUGCCGUGAUCCUCCGCGACAAGGCGGUGGCGGUGGAAGAGAUUGCGGCGGCCAGCAGCAGGGAGGCGGCGGCGGUGGUGCGCGGGGCGCAGCACAUGUCGCAGAGGCGGAUUCGGAUGAUGGCGCGCUCUUCUUCGUCCACGGCGUCGUGCAACUGGAGGAAAAGGCGCCUGAAGUCCUCUGCACCAAGGCCGCCGCGUUCCUGGACUUCGCCGAGCCGCGCGCACGUGCCUUCCUCGGUGACGCCAGCGACGAGGACAAGCUCGACGGCUGGUACCUCGACAGCGGCGCCACCCACCACAUGUCUGGGCGUUGUGAGAUCUUCUCCGAGCUCGACACGACCAUCCGCGGCACGGUGAAGUUCGGUGAUGCAUCGUGCGUGGAGAUCCAGGGCGUGGGCUCGGUCGUGUUCCAGGCGAAGAACGGCGAGCACCGCGUCCUCCACGGUGUCUACUUCAUUCCGGCGCUGCGCAACUCCAUCAUGUCCCUGGGUCAGCUCGAUGAAGCGGGCUCGAAGGUGGAGAUCGAGCACGGUGUCCUACGAAUCUGGGAUCAGCGCAAGUGCCUCCUCGCCAAGGUAAAGCGCGGCAGCAACCGUCUCUACAUUCUUCACCUCGACGCCGUGCAGCCUGUAUGCCUCGCCGCGCGGAAGGACGACGAUGCCUGGCGCUGGCACAAGAGGCUUGGACAUCUGCACUUCGACGCGAUCCAUCGGCUCGCGAAGGAGGAGAUGGCCCGAGGCAUUCCGGUGAUCGAGCACGCGGCGCAAGUCUGCGACACCUGCGUCACCACCAAGAUGCGCUGCCGGUCGUUCCCGCAGAAGGCCACGUACCGCGCCGAGCAGCCGUUGGAGCUCGUCCACGGUGACUUGUGCGGGCCCAUCACGCCGGCGACUCCAGGAGGCCGACGCUACUUCCUCCUCAUGGUGGACGACGCCACGCGCUUCAUGUUCGUGGCGCUGCUCGCAACCAAGGACGAGGCGGCGCAGGCGGUGAAGAAGAUCAAGGCUCAGGCUGAGAAGGAGACCGGCCGCGAACUGAAGGUGCUACGGACCGACAAUGGUGGAGAGUUCACCUGCUCCGAGCUCGCCGAGUACUUCGCCAUGGAGGGAGUCAAGCGCCACUUCUCCGCGCCGCACUCGCCACAGCAGAAUGGCGUUGUGGAACGGCGGAACCAAACGGUGGUGGCCACCGCGCGGGCUCUGCUCAAGCAGCGCGGCAUGCCGGCUCGUUUUUUGGGGGGGAGGCAGUGGUGACCGCAGUUCAUCUGCUAAACCGCUCGCCCACCAAGUCAUUGCAGGGCAUGACACCCUACGAGGCCUGGCACGGGCGCACGCCGUCCGUGGCGCACCUGCGCGUCUUCGGCUGCGUCGCCUACACACGUGACUUGGGGCAGCUGCGCAAGCUCGACGACCGCGGCGUCCCCGGCAUCUUCAUCGGCUACGCUGAGGGCGCCAAGGCCUACCGAGUGUUCGCCCCGGCGUCUGGGCGCGUCAAGACCUCCCGCGACGUCAUCUUCGACGAAGGACUUGGGUGGAACUGGACGACGCCGGCGGCCGGAUCCUCUGCAGCGACAUCAAGUGACUUCGACAUCGAGUGGCCGGCCGAAGCAGAGGAGAUAUCCGCGUCAGUGCCAACCUCCCCGAGCCCACCUCGCGCGCUGUCCUCUGCUCCGGGGGAGCACGAGAGGGACGACGCGGACGAGCCGAAGACUCCUGCCGCUGGCUCUACUACACCAGCUGCGGCAGUUGAGGUCGGCGAACCGGUGGAGUUUGCUUCGCCGCUGGAGGGAGAUGAAGACCGGGUUGAUGCCUGGCACGAUGAUUUGCCCCUGCGCUAUCGCACGGUGGCCAACAUCAUCGGCAACGCUUCUACGCCGCCACCGCCGCUGCGCCUCUUCGCUGAAGUCCAUCUGACUCAUGCGGGAGAACCGGCGAACUUCGACCAGGCCAAGGACGAUCCUGCCUGGCGCGCGGCUAUGGAGCAGGAGCUCAAGUCUGUGGAGCAGAACCACACCUGGGAGCUAGCUACGCUCCCGGCUGGCCACCGGCCCAUUACCCUCAAAUGGGUGUACAAGCUCAAGAAGGAUGAGCGGGGCACGGUGAUCAAGCACAAGGCGCGUCUGGUGGCGCGCGGGUUCGUCCAGCAAGAGGGGAUUGACUACGAUGACUCCUUCACACCAGUGGCGCGCAUGGAAUCUGUCAGGGUUCUCCUCGCGCUGGCAGCUCAGGAAGGAUGGUCUGUCCACCACAUGGACGUGAAGUCCGCCUUCCUCAACGGCGAUCUCAAGGAAGAAGUCUACGUGCGGCAGCCGUCGGGCUUCGCCGUCGCUGGGGAAGAAGACAAGGUCUAUCGCCUACACAAGGCUCUGUACGGUCUGCGCCAGGCGCCUCGAGCCUGGAACGAGAAGCUGGACUCAACACUCAAGGAGAUGGGGUUUCAGCAGAGUUCUCACGAGGCUGCCAUGUACAGGCGGAGCAGUGGGCGGGCAAUUCUGCUCGUUGGCGUCUACGUCGACGAUCUGAUCAUCACCGGCACCGAUGAGAAGGAAGUGGCGGCGUUCAAGGCUCAGAUGAUGAAGACAUUUGAGAUGAGCGACCUCGGGCUGCUGAGCUUCUAUCUUGGUGUCGAGGUCCGCCUUCUGGGAUCUAUCUCCGGCAGACACACUACGCCGAGAGGAUUCUGGAGCUUGUAGGCAUGGAGGGCUGCAACCCUGCAGCAACUCCCAUGGAAGAAAGGUUGAAGCUCAGUCGCUUCAGUACUGCUGAGGCAGUGGAUCCUACCCACUACCGGCGGUUGGUUGGCAGUCUGCGCUAUCUGGUUCACACCAGGCCGGACAUUGCCUUCGCUGUCAGCUUUGUCAGCAGAUUCAUGGAGAAGCCCACCAUGGAGCACCUCGCAGCUGUGAAGCGCAUUCUGAGGUACCUCGCCGGGACGCUGGACUAUGGGCUGCACUUCACCAGAGCCCCUGGCAGUGCACGGUUCAUUGGCUAUUGUGACAGUGACCUUGGUGGUGACAUUGAUACAAGCAAGAGUACCACUGGUGUCCUCUUCUUUCUUGGUCAGUGUCUGGUGUCUUGGUAGUCUAUCAAGCAUAGAGUAGUGGCACUCUCCAGUUGUGAAGCAGAGUAUGUGGUUGCUACUACUGCUGCUACACAGGCUAUGUGGCUGUCAAGAUUGCUGGCUGAGUUACUUGGAAGAUCUGUGGAUAUUGUUGAGCUAAAGGUUGACAGCAAGUCUGCACUGGCCUUAGCAAAGAACCCUGUCUUCCAUGAGCGCAGCAAACACAUCAGAAUCAAGUAUCAUUUCAUUCGAAGCUGCUUGGAGGAUGGCAGCAUCAAGGCAGAGCAUAUCUCAACAGGUGAUCAGCUGGCUGACAUUCUUACCAAGGCAUUGGGCAAGACCAAGUUUGAAGAGCUCAGGGGAAGGAUCGGCCUGGAGGCAAUCUCAGCAAAGGAGAUCAAGACCAAGGGGGAGAACUGAUAGCAGUUGGUCAUGUAUCUAGUAUAGCAGGGCCUAAGUAUUGCCCAUUGCAGUUUUGUUUUCUUUUCGGUUUCAGUUGUGUGGCUGUAAUAGGCUUGCUUGGGGGUCAAGAAGAUAAGACCCUUGGCAGCCAAGUUAACUAGGAAUCUACUCUAGAAUAUGCCUAUCCAAGAGGUAGCCCUCAGCCUAUAAGAGCUGGAGAUUGGGCAAGGGUUUUGUAACCGAGAUCCACUUUUGCAAUUCAAUCAAAAGGCCAUAGCAGGCAAACUGCCCUCUGGCUGUUGCCAGAUCAAUCUCGUGUUCACCUAGUUUAUCCAACAAGCGCAACAUAACACGUCCUACUUAAGAUUAAGAACCUGUUUUCCUCCUUUGGUCAUCUUCAGGUUGAGUUCCAUCUUAAUGCCAGUCCUUCCAAUCUGAAAUAACACUCAGGAAAUUAUAUUUUCCGUGACAGUGUCAGUCUUAGCUGCCUUGCUCAACAUUUCUCUGAAAAGAGUCAAUACAUCUUCUAUCCUACCGUCUUCACAGCAGCUAUCAAUCAAAGUGUUACAGGUAGCAACAUCGGGUUUCAAGCCCAUAGAAAGCAUGUCAUCAAGUAAAGUAUUAAAAGUAACAGCAUUGGGUUUCAAGCCAACUGAGAGCAUAUCAUCAAGGAGCUUCAGCACUUCAUCCAGUUUACCAGCCAAGAAAUAUCCAUGAAUGAUUGCAUUGUAGGAAACCACAUUAGGUUUUACACUAGCAAUUGGCAUCAAAUCAAAGAGUGUUUUGGCCUCGGUAACCUUUCCUUCUUUGAAUAGCUUGUCUAUCAUUGUAGUGAAGACAACGACAGUAGGACGAAUGCCUCUAUCCAUCAUCUCAUAAAAUAGUUCCUCAGCCUUCUCCCAUUUGCCGUACAUAGAAAAACCAUGUAUUAGAUUAGUAAAUACUACAAUAUCUGGAGACAAUCCAUCAUCAAUCAUCUGACAGAAUUGGGACAUUGCAGCGUCCAGCCGGCCUAUCUUGCAAAGCCCAUCUAUCAUCGUCCCAUAGCUGAUUAUGUCUGGCAUCAAUCCUUGCUGCCGCAUUUUGUUAAAAGUAAGCAUUGCCUCAUCUAACCUUCCACAUUUGACGUAUGCAUAAAUCUGUAUGUUGAAGAUAUGAUGAUCAGGUCGCACUCCGUUCUGUACCAUCAAAUCUAUGAGAUUAUUCAUUUCAACAAGAUCUCCUUUGGUAGCGUACCCAUGAAGCAGACCUCCGUAGGUGGCAACAUUGGGGUUUCCACGGCUCUGAAUCAUAGAAUUCAAAAUUUCUCUAGCUUCUGUGUGCCCUCCAAAUUUGCAAAGACAGUCUAUCAGCAUGCUGUAAGUAACACCAUUUGGUGGUUGCCCAUGUCUUGACAUUUGUUUGAGAAUUCUGACCGCCUCUUUCAGUUGUCCCGAAGAGAGGUAUCCAUGGACCAGACUGUUAUAUGUAGUGCAGUCAGGCAUAAUAUGUUUGUCAAACAUCUGUCGAAGGACCUCCUCAGCCUUGUCCAUUGCUUGAACCUUGCAUAGGCCAUCAAUGAUUGAGUUGCAAGUCACAACAUCCGGCGGGAUCCCACGAUCAAGCAUUUCACAAAACAGGGUGUAAGCUUUCCCCACCUCAUCCUCUUUAAAGAAGCCAUGGAUUACGGUGGUAUAAGACACCACAUUAGGUGGGCAGUGAUCUCCAUCCUCAGCCAUCAUGUGGAUCAGGUCAACAGCCUCUUCACAUUUCUUCUCGUCACAUAGCCCUUUGAGAAGUACGGUGUAGGAGAAGACAUCCGGGGUGCAGCCAAGCUUAGGCGUCCAUCUGAUCACAAUAUUCAUUGCAUCACUCGUCCUCUUCUCAGCACAGAGGGUCCUAAGUAUAGGCGUGAAACUGAUGGCAUUUGCCCUCAGUCCCGUCUUAAUGAUUUGGCCCAAUGCGGCAAAGGCGAGGUUCAAGCAGCCUACAUAGCAGCAGCAGCUGAUGAGGAUGGUGUAGGUAACUGUGGUCGGAGCAACCUUCUUGGAGCCCGCUCGGGCCAUGCGGUUGAACAUGGACACGGCGAGGGCAGGGCCGUUGGGCACGGCGGAGGAGACUGGGGCGCGAGCGACAGUGGUGAGGAGCCGGGUGAGGGCAUAAACGGAGCCUUGCCUCGCUUGGGGAAGCAGCUCGUCGAACAGAUCGAGUGCGUCCUCGGGGUCAAGGUCUCCCGAGCGGAAACACUCUCCGAUGAAGCGCUCCAGCUCGCAGGACGGGCGGUUUUCGUACCUCCGACCCCGCUGCCGAACCGGCCGGCUGUGGGGAACGCAUUUGGAUCGACGGGAGCACCUUGUCGCAGAGUUGGCGCGCGGCCUAAGCGCUGAGGCUUCCCGAGCGGAGGCGCCGCCCGAUGAUCCGCUUCAACUUCUUCAGCCAAGACGGGCGCGGCCGGUUCGACAUGGUCGGCGCCGGCGGUGGGAUCCACACGUCUCGCGCCUCCGAUUCGGUGGCAAAUGCAGAUCGCGCUGGGAUGGUCCGCACUCCGCACAGCGCGGCGGCGGCGUACGCUUUCUGUGGAGUGGUGGGGGGGAACGAAUAGAAGCCGAGUGUUGGGGGGCUGACCACGUGCUUGAGUGGGGCCUGGGAACGAAUGGAAGCUGCCUACACGUAUGCAUCGUGUACAAUGACGAAUCUAGAAAAAUAUUUAGGGAAAGCUUCUGCUACUUAAGAUAACUUCAGUCCCUUCUUAAAGAGCAUCAAUGAUAAAAAUUUGUAGGAGGGGCUAAGGAGGGGCUACGUGGGUUCUACGGCCGUAGGGGGGCUGGAGCCCCACCAGCCCCACCGUUGGCUCCGUCGCUGAUCGUGUAUUUGUAUUUGUAUUUGUAUACACACACGAGGUGAUAUGCACUACUAACCUGCCUUGAAGAGUUCUGGUGUAGAACAUGUUCCGUAGAGGCUUCCAAGUCGUCUAACGCUUAUAAUAGUUUUCUUGGAUGCAAGGAAAAAAAAGAAUUCAAUAUCAUCAACGAAACAUCGCAUUUUGAUUUUUUUUGGUUUCAAGUGAUCGUGAGAAGAUUCUCAGUAUUAUGGCCUUGUUCAUUUCGCGAAAUUUUUUUGGCUUUAGCUACUGUAGUACUUUCGUUUAUAUGUGACAAUUAUUGUCCAAUUACGGAGUAACUAGGCUCAAAAGAUUCGCCUCACAAAUUACACUGUGCAAUUAUUUUUUAUUUUCGUUUAUAUUUAAUGCUUCAUGCAUGCGUACAAAGAUUCGAUGUGAUAGAGAAUCUUAAAAAUUUUUGGAAACUAAACAAGGCCAUCUCUCUAUUUCUCAUGUGCACGCAUAGAAAUGCUAAUUUACAGUCUGCUCGUCGGCACCGUCCCCCCUCCCAACCCACCGUUAUUGCUGCCGUCAAAGAAGGGACUGGUCGCGUCCCACCAUGCACCCACAUGCCUACGCCUUGUGCCCGUGUCGACAAAGAAGACGGCGUUGGCUAGGUUUUUGGCAACCCGUGCCACUUCCUUCUUUUCCACAACUUCGGUGGGCUUAGAAGAGAAGGCCUGGUUUGGAGGGAUGAAGACUGACUAGACGGUGGGGAUAGCAUCGACAAAUAAGACGGCGACGACUAGGGUUUCAAUGGCACGUGUCACCCCCUUUUUCCAUCAACUCCGGCAGGCUUAGAAGAAAAAGGGUUUGGAGAAACGAAGGUCGACUAGGCGGUAGGGACGACAUUGGAGGCGGGCAGGCUAGGUCAGGGGGGCAAGCUCCUCGAUGGCGCGCCUCUGCCAGCUAAUCCAGCUGCACCAUGAUAAUCCAUAGCCUCCACUCUUUCACCCUGGGCCAUCCUUGAGCAACCCCAUGGCGUCACCGCCAUGGUUGGCCACCCACCACCCAUGGUCCUCCACCUGCCCAACCACAAGGGCGAAAUGGAACACUCUCGACCCAAAAAAAAGCUCCCUCAUGGUUUAGACAUGGUCGAAACCCCACUACGUACCACGAGCCGCUCUGAACCUCACCGUCGUCGUGAUGUAAAGCUGGAGUGGAGCCAUCACCCAAUGUCCGCCGACUAGGUUGACAUGAGGCGAUGCAAUCGCUGGAUCCAAAGGUAGGCCAUGGUCACUCGGCGGGAGAUGGCGUGGUUGCUCGAUGAAGAAGCAGAGUGCGGGGUGGAAGCGGAGUGUGACAUUGGGGCAGGGACCAUGGUACCGUUGGACAGCGUCUAGGCGGGGGCCUCGCUUCUUCCAGGUCAAAGCUUUUGGCGAUGGAGCGUAGAGUAGUCCAGGUGAUUAAGGGAUAAGGAUUGAGCAUGGAGGAGCUCGGAUGAAAGAUAAGAAGAAAAUAGAGAAGAAAACAAACGAAAAAGAAAAUAAAAAAUGAUAAGACAGAGAGCAUAUAAAGAAAAGAGAAAGAAGAAAAAAAUGACAGUAUAGACAUUUCACUCUUUUCAACAGCAGGUCAAGCUAUUUUACCAAAGUCUUUUCAAAACAGCUUCACCUCUCUCUCUCUCUCAAUUUGUACAGAGGCGUCAUGUUUCAAUGUUAUGGCUGUCUCGUAACCGCAUUUGUUAUUGUUUACUAGUUCAUAUAAUUUUGUAACUUCCACAUUUCGGUUGACUUUUACAUAUCACAAAAUACAUAAUGUUUCAUGAAAUGACAAAAUGGACAUACUGUAACUAUAAAUUCAUGUAAUAACACGUAGGGUAUCAUCAAGUUAUUAUUAAUUAGCUGCGCACCGAAACCUUAAUAUUUGUCGAGCAUGGCCAAAUCCAAAUGCAUCAUUCUUUUUCCCUCGGGG
rnacentral:lncRNA from 1 species